rnacentral:lncRNA from 1 species
UUUUAGAUGCGCACUGUCCGGAUCGUAUUUCAUCAAGCCCCUUGCUUCUACCUAUUCAUUCUAUGGUCAAUUGCUUCAAAUCAAAAAUUGAGGUAUGAUUCUCAUGCCACGUUCCUUUUUCUUUUGUACCCAUUGGAUUUACAUGGUGCUUUCGUGCAGGGGCGCAAGGUUAUUAAUAGGUAUUCUUCCUUCUAUGGCAAUGGGAUUGGUAUUGUUAUUCCUAGUAGUGGAAUUCUAGAGUGGAUAACGUAUCGGAAUAUGGGAAGGCAAGUAACAAUAGAGCUCCCUCCGAAUUGGUAUAAAAAUGAUGACUUGUGGGGAUUUGCUUUAUGCUGUGUUUAUGUUGCACCUGCCUGUAAAUCUGAGGAUGAAUCUCAGUAUGAAUCAGGUCUUAUAUCUGAGGAUGACAGUGACCUUAAAGAUGAAGAAGCAAGCUUUUAUUGUGAAUUGACAAUCGAAGGAAAUAAUCAAUCAGAAGACGUGGGUCAUUUCUUUCUUCAUUCUCGCUGUAUUAAGGAUGAUGUAUCAGAUAUGCAGUGGGUGAUAUGUUAUCCCAAGUUAGCUAUUGAGAAAAGUUAUCACACCAAUCAAUGGACACACUUCAAGGCUUCAUUUGGUGGUGCCCAAGUGGAAGAGUGCGGAAUCCGUCUUGUAUACAGAAAAGAUUAUGAACAGAAGCAUCCAAGAAUGGCACAAGGCAGUACUUCUCAUGGGAAUUUUGGUGAGCAUGGAUCAGUAAGAGAAGAUACUGAUAGUAAAGCUCACAAUAAAAGGAAUCCCACAGAACAGAGCCCAGGAGAGGAGUCACACCAUAAAAGAUCCAGAGAAACCCAAGACUGAUCUCAAGUAUUAGGCUCAACCACACUUGCAUCACUAAUGCUCUCUUUACUGGUAAUUCAUCUUCCUUUCUCUUUCUAAUUCAAAGGUCAGAAUUUUUUUUUUAUCGUGUUUCUCCUUUUUAUUUGUUUUUUUUUUCCCCAAGACAAACAAAACUUUGAGGCUAUCACCCAUGGGCGCAAACUUCAAUGGUACACCUCCCAAGUUUGUUUUUCUCUCUCUCCAACCGUCUCUCCCUAGAUUUUUCUGCAUUUUCUUCAAACUCAUAUUUCCAUAUGAAAUUCAAUUACAUUCGAGCAUUUCAAUCUCUGUAGCUACUGUCUGAAUCAAUUAUAGGGUUUCUUUUUUCUGGAAGUUUGUAAUGUUAUUGAUUUAAGACUUCAUGUUUGGGGAUGUUUUGGGUGGCUUGUUCACUGGUAUUACUUGUGAUAAUUGCAGCUCUGGUGCUUUCAAUGACUGACAAUAGUUGAAACUAUGUUGAAUGCUUGUACUAAGGGAAUGGACUUCAGCUGCUCCAGGGUUAGUGCUAUAACAUCAGUAUUCACUCUUCAAGAAUGUAUAUAGUUGUUGUUUUGGAAUUUUGAAAUUACUUAGCAUCAGACAAUUUCUAACUCGGGAUUUGGAUUGGGAACCAUAAGUUAUCUCACCCUAGUGUUCUUUGGAAUAAUUAUAGGAUUUUGUAAGUAACUUUGGACUUGUUAGCAAUGUUCUGGAUUUGUGAAUAAUUUAUAGAAUACAUUGGGUGUUUUUUUUUUUUGGUCCAUCAAAAACUUCAAGAACUUUGAGGGUGAAUAAUGUAUGACUGUACUCUUCUCUAUCUCUGUGGUCAUAGCACACGUAUGAUUUGGUGCUUUUUUGCAGGCCUUCAACAGCAGCAAAGCAUCUGGUGGCUUGCAGUACUAAUCUUGCAUUAUAUUCUCUGUUUUGCAAUCAUUUGGUACUUUUUGUCCCAACCAAGGAUAGCUCUGUGCAAGCAGUCUCGACUGUGGAACAAGUAAAACAAAUGGUACCUGCUGAAGCUGAGAGUGCAGAUGAUAAACUGGUGCGGAAGGUGGUCAACCAAAAGAAUCAGACAGCAAAAACUAAAAAGCCCAUGAAGCCUGCUACUGAAGCAGUCUCAGCACCUGUUUCUAGGAGGGGUGAGAUUGAAGUGACUGAAGAAAAGGAGCAUCAGCAAACAAAGAAGGAAGAGGAGUUGGCCAGGAAGGUAGAGGAAUUGAGAAGUGAAGAAGAAGCAGCCAUGUUGAAGGAGCAAAGUCUGUUGGAGGAGAGAAAGCCAACGUUAAGGAGGCACUGGAAAGGCAACAAGGAACUGCAGAAAAGGCCAAUUUCUCUGUGAGUGCUGCCACCUUUUCAUGAUACAGCCAUCAUAAUGGAUGUUAAAAGCAGUCUAACUCUACAUACUUCCUUGCAUUAUACUAGUCAUUGAUGGGCUUAAAUUUUAAUUUAAAUGUAGUAUAAAUAUAUAAGUAGAUUGAUUGGGUCUGAAUUUGAACCUGGUUCGAGUCAUACUCCCAUCCAAUCCAAACUUGUGAUUGGGCUUGAAUUUCUUGGCCCAACCAGCGAAAUCAUUGACCAACGGCCCUUAGUUUGGGCUGGGCUUGAUGGUCCUCAGGUUAUGUAGGCUUAAUACUGAUUGGGUUUGGGCUUCCAUGCAGUUGUACUUGGAUUCUAUGUUUCCUAAUAUUAACACUAAAUUAGGUUUAAUUUAUAAUUAAAUAUAAUUAGUUUGAGACUAACUCCAAUCUUUAGUUAAACCAACUAAGUUUUAUGCAAAGGUUUAUAUUCCUAAUACCAUCAGGUAUUAUAGUAAAUACCAUUGAAAAACUAAAUUCAUGUGGAAGUUUCACUAGGUGAUACGACAUUAAAUUAUUAAGAUAAAAUUAAAAAAAGAUCAUGCUCGUAUGUCCCGUUGUUUGUCAUAAGAGAAUUUCUUUCUAGAUUUUUUUUUUUUUGCUCUUUUCAAUUCUAGAUAUUUUAAUAUAUCUUUACUUUUUCAAAAACAAUCCAUAGGAUUGUUCCCAAACAUAUAUCAUAUAAAUAUAUAUUUUUAAGAUUGAUUUUUAAGAAUGUUAUCAAAUAAACUCAUAAUAGCAUUUUUUUCUUUACAAUUACCAAUUCGUAUGAUGAAUUAAUUACUUUCAAUAACCGACAUCAUCUAAUCAAAAUUAUAAUUAAGUAUCAUAUUAAAAGAGUGUUUAAAAAAUCAAAUUUAAUAACUUAAAGUGAUUUAAUAAUUUAAUUUAAAUUAUUAAAAUAACUUGAUGUCACAAUUUAAAGUUAGAAAUGACUUAAUUUAUUUUUAUUUAAAUUUAAAACUAAGUUUACAAAAAAGGUUUAAAAUUCAUAUCAAUUAAGAAAUUAAGUCAUUAAGUUACUUUAAGCCAUUAAAUUGAUCUACCAAUUAAACACCCUUGAAGAUAUUACAUAAAGUUCACCUUCUACAUAUCAUGAAAAUUUAAAAUUAAUUACAACAUCAAGAAUCUUUAGUUCCUAAUCGAUAUCAUAUUUAAUCCUUGGUUGUAAAUUUCUUUACAUAUGUAGAUAUAUUUUUAUAUUGCAAGUGGGUUGCCGACUUUUCAUUUUAUACUAGUUUUGAAAUUAAGAUUGUAGUUUUUAUUUUGUCCAAAUCUAAUUUGGAGGGAGAAUCUUUAGAGGCUAUUUUAUAUUCAAAUAGGAAAAUUUUAAAUUUAAUAGUCCCACCUUAUAAAGGCAAAUAUCUUGGACCCUACAUGGGUGCCUCUUACAUGCAAAAGGACAAAGACUUAUUGAAAGCCUCUCUCAUUCACAUGGAUGCCAUCAUUCAUCAAAGUUGAAACAUGAAACCCACACAAAAGCAAUUUCAAUAUUUUUUUUCAUAACUAUAGCUGAGAAUCUCAAUAUUAUUAAAUAGUGACAAAAUUAAUUUCAAUAUUUUUUUUUCUUAUUUUUUGCUCCUUGUGGUUAUAUUUUCAUCUGGAAAGUAUUAAAUAUAUUAAAAAAGAAAAAAAUUAUAAAAAAAUUUUUUUCCUAGUUAAUUAUACUAUGAAAAAUAUAGAGUAAAAUAAAAUAUAAUUAAAAUUAGUUAAAAAAUUAUAUUUUUAUAAAAUUAUUUGACUUUUUUAUAAAAAUUUAAAAUAAGUGACAUGAGUUUGAAAUAGUAUAUAUAUUGACUUUAAUUCUUUCAAAUUAAUCACUAGGUUGUUAGAGACAUACACCUAUGAUCCAAAGGUUUUCCCAACAAAGAUAUCAAUAAAUCUUUCUACUCCAUUGAUUGCAUCUUGAAUUCUUUCAAAUUAAUCACUUCAUUGUAAUCAUUAUUCACUUCAUUGUGAUUUGUCAGACAACAAUUCAUUUCUGCUUCAUGGUUGGACCUUGAGGUAAGGCUUUAGAGGCAUAAGCCUCAAAAGCCUCUUAAAAUUGGUUCUACACUUCUUGCAUGAUGAAUGCAAGUUCCAAAUUUUGAUGACUUGGUAAUGUUGGAGUAAUUGGGUUGAAAGCAGUCAAACACAAAUAUUUAUUAAAGAAGAUAAAAAUUUGGAAGAAUUAAAAUUUUAUUGUAUUCUACCACUCUUUUUUUUAUUCAAAUAUUACAUAAUCCUUUAUUAACUAAAAAUGACAUAAUUAAAAGUAAAUUAUCAUUUGAUUGCAAUGGAUUUAAUAGAAUAUGGUGGAUAUGCUAAAUUUUUGUCUGAUAAUAAAAUUUGAUUUGAGUGAAUAUAAUUAGAGUAAAAUAGUCUUUUUAACUAUCACUUUUACAAUAAAAAGUGUUUUAUUUAAACAAAUAUUUAAUAAAAUUUUAAAAACAUUUGAUAAAUAAUUAUUAUAAAAACUCUUCCUCGAAAAUACUUCAAAGUUCGUCGGAUGGUAAAUUAUACAUCAAGAUCUUAAUGAUGGUCCAUGCAACCAUCACCAUUGAUUGUUUUUGAAAACACAACUUCAAUUUAAAUAAUAUUUUAAGGUAACUCCUAGUUAUCAUAUUUUACAAGAUAUUUUUUAAAAUUAUUGUUUUUUUUCUUUCAAAAUCCUAAGAGAGAGGUCACCAAUAUCAAAAUAAUGUGACCCAUCUCUAUACUAUUGUCUCCAUUAUUUGGACUAUAUCAUAGUUUCCUUAUUGACAACAUGGUAGCCAUGUUAAAUACCUACAACUUUGAAAACAAGAUCUCAAAACUAUGCCUAUUUGAUUAUAAGGCUUAAUUAUUAUAGUUUAUCAUUUCCUAGCAUAUAUAGUUCUUAGCAUCUAAGUAUUUGUUAUAUAAGAAUUUUUCUCAUUUUUCAAGCUUGCAUUUUGUUUAGAAAUUUUUUGAGUUUUUUACAAUCAUUUUGAAAAUGUCAACUCAUAAUUAUAUACAUUUUAGUUCUAUAAGGACUAAAAUCACUUAACAUCAUGGUAAUACUAUUUAAGGUAAUUUGCUUUGAAUCAGAAUGAACUUAUAUACAACUUACGAUUUAUGGUAAUAAUAGAGAUCGAAUUUAAAAAUACAUAAGUUUUCAAUUAAAUAUUAAUAUAUUUAUGUUUCCUUCUUAUUUUUAAUCCUAAAACACAUUAAAUGUAUGCUCUUGAAUUCCUCCAUGUAAUGCGAUUUGAUAUAAUGAUAAAUCAACAAUUAUGAUUUAAUAAUAUGGUGCUUUGACUUUUGACAUUUAAGUAACACCGUCAAUAAAAGCUCCAUAUCUUUGCUUCAUGGAAGAACGUACAAAUGAUGUGAUUGAAUUACAUUUCAAUUAUGUUUGAUUCUUUGAAAAUACUCAAGAAAAAUAAAUAUUUAAAAAAAUAAUUUUCUCAUAUUUGAUUUUACUAUAAAAAAAAUACAUAAUUAAAAUUAGUAAUAAAUUUAAAUAAUUUUAAAUUACUUAAUCUUUAUAUAAAAAAGUUAAAUUAGUAAAACGAGUUUAAAACAUGAUAUAAAGGUAAUUUAUUGACUUUAAUUUUUUUUUUUUACUUCACUUUUUCUUUCCUUCUCUUUGAUGAGAUCAUCUUAGAUAAAUUGUUAAUUGAUUGCAGCAUAUUCAAUUGAAUUCGAUAGUCUAGGUAUCAUAAAUCAUACAUGUUGUGCACCAUUUACAGUAAAUGAACCGUCACAAACCAUACAUAGAGGAGAUGUUGAUUUCAUUAUAAAUCAUACGAUAAUUACAAAAGAUAUGAUAUUAACUUGCAGUAAAUUGCAACAUCGGCACUCUAAUGCUAGACAAAGUAACUAGACAAAGUAAGUCUAAUUAUUGCUAACUUUCCUCAUCUUUCUUGGGCCUUUUGGGUGCUUUUUGUGCAAAAGAGAAAAAGCUAUAACUAAAUUGCCAAUCCAUCACCGACGUUAUAGACUGAUGAAGAAUACCAAAGGGAGUGUUACGAAAUAAUGAGAAUAAAUAAUAAGAAAAAUAGAAUAAGAACACAUAGAUAUACGUGAAAAACUUUAGAUGGGAAAAAUCAUGAGAAAACGAGAAAAAGAUCCGUUAUGUCAAAAAUUGGUACAAAAUGGGAGAGUUGAAAGCGACUACAACAAAAGUAUAAUCAUCGUAACCCUAAAACUAUACAUCAUUAUUAUAUAUAUAUAUAUAUGUAUAUAUAUAUAUAUGCGAGAGUUGAGAACAACUAUGGGAUGAGGUCUAUCGACUCGAUCCCUUCACUACCCCCACAAAUCUCUCAAAAAAUCUCAUAAUUUUAACUUUACUACAUAUAUUGCAUCGCGAGCUUUUCGAAUUGAAUAAAAAAGAAUUUGGAAUCAUCAAACAGUAACAAAGGGAGUGAGAUCAUAACUUUGGAAGGAUUUUUUUUUUUUUUAAAUGUAGACUUGAAUGGUAAAUACUAAAAUGUGUUUGAGAGUGAUACUUGAAAGUAUUUUUAAUAUUUUUAAUAUUCGAAAAAUAAAAAAUUUUCAAAUAUUAAAAAUAUUUCCUAAAAUCAAUAUCAAAAACCAUUUUACAAAAUCAGUAUCAAACUAUCAAACAUAAUUUGAAUUUAAAUAGAGACAAGAACAACAUUGACUCUUGACUCACCAAACCAGUCCUAGUUCACUUAUUGAAUGAAAAGAAAAUAAUUAAAAAUAAAUAACAGCAUCCAUUCUACCAUGUUAUGAAGAGUAAAAGACAAUGGAGAUUUUAACUUUGUUGCCUUAAAAGUCAUGCCCCCUUUCAUGAGUAUAUAUAAUAAAAUAUAUUCGUUUGCAUCUCUUGAAUGCAAAUAAUUUGAUAAUUUUUUUAUAAUUAAUUUAUGAAGAUAACAAUUUGAUAAUUAGACAAUUAUGUUGAUAUUUUGACAUUAUUAUCAAUUUACCAAAUAAGAUUGUUUUUCACCCAACAAUAAUUUACUUAGAAUAAUAAAUAAAUUAAAUUAGCUAACGUAACCAAAGCAUUUGAUUAAAAAUUGGUUUUCAUUUACAAAGAUAAGUUGAAAAUUAAUUUUAAUUUGAUUUAAUUAGGAAAUUAAUUUUUUGCUUGUUAAGUUUGUUUUAAUUUGUAAAUUCAUGUAAAUAAAAAAAAGGAUAAAAAGAUAAUUUUCAUGUGAAAAUUCAUUUAAUUUGAAAAUAAAUGAUGUAAUGUGUUUCAUUGUCGGUUAGCAUUUUUCUUUUUUUCUUGUUUGUAUAACUUUUUAAAAUGUAAAAGAUAAUAAUAAAAUAAGAAAUAAUCAAUAAAUUAAAAAAAUAAAAUAAAUGAUCUCACUAAAAAUGUUUUUUUACCUUAUGUCAUAUGACUUGGAUUAUUUUUUUUCUCUUUUCAGUAAAACAAACUUUUAAUAUAAAUAAAAAAAUAAAAUAGGACAUAGAGGAAAAUAGCUAAAGAGUAUAAAAAAAAUUCAAAAUAAUGCACUAAAAAUGGAAAGAGAAUAUGGUGAGUAGUUGAAUAAUAAUAAAUAAAAAAAAGUCAAAAAAGCUUCAAUACUCUUUGAAUCCACUGUUAGUGAAUGCCAAAAGGCAUACAUCAUACACGCAACUAGAAAUAAAAUGGUAAAAUAUAAAGAAAAGAGUCAGAAAAAGCACGAAGACUACAAUUAAUAAUCGUGGCAGGACUUCGACUCUCGUGAACCCCCCACUGUCACUCAAUGCUAUAGGGUUACAGGCUUGGAGCCAAUCAAAGAUAAUUGAGACAGAAGAACCAGACAUCCUCAACACCAUCGUCUCAGACUCUCAGCAUUCAAAGACCCCUUUGUAUUUUCUUCUUCCAAAUUCUGUUCUUGUAAUUUUGUUACAAUCCAACCAUGGCUUCCACUAGCAAUCCCAAGAGACCCUCUUCUUCUUCUAAUUCUAAAUGGAGGUACGAUGUGGUCUUGAGUUUCAGAGGCGAGGAUACCCGCAACAACUUUACUAGUCAUCUCUACAAGGCUUUGGAUCAUGCCAACAUUGAAACCUUUAUAGAUGAUGAAGGACUUCCAAGGGGAGAAGAGAUUGCGCCCGAGCUCCUAAAAGCUAUUGAAGGAUCAAGGAUUGCCCUUAUUGUCUUCUCGAAAACCUAUGCUCAUUCCAAGUGGUGCUUGGAUGAACUCGUCAAGAUCAUGGAGUGCGAGAAAGAAAAGGGACAACAGGUUUUUCCUAUUUUCUAUCAUGUAGAGCCGUCUGAAGUCAGGAACCAGACUGGGAUUUAUGGAGAAGCAUUUAACAAUCACGAAAGAAAUGCAGACGAGGAGAAGAAGAAGAAGAAGAUAGAGCAGUGGCGGACUGCCUUAAGGAAAGCUGGUAAUUUGAGUGGAUUUCCUCUGCAGGAUAGGUAAUCCCUACUUCACUUUUUCCAUUCCCAAUUUUCUGUCAGUUUAUUUUCAUUCUUGUUAAUAAAUAAAAUAUUUAUGAUUACAUUUAUCAAUCAAAAUCCAUUUUUAAGUAGUAGACAUUAAUAUGUUCGAUUUCUUGGAAAGUAAUAAGAAAGAGUAAAAAAAAAAAAAAAAAAGAUUUUCUCACAUUUAAUUUAUUAUUAAAAUUAUAAAAGGAAAUCAAAUAUAAUUAAAAUAUAUCAGAAAAAAUUAUAUUUGCCCAGCAGGUGGAAAUGCCAAGUUUUGAAUUGUUAAAAAUCUUUAAGAUUCCAAAAUAUUCUUCCUUUCUAAUCGAUCCAUCUUAGCCAUAAUUUCUAUCAGUUAAAAAAAAUGGUAGUCUGUCAAAUAAAUUGUUAAAAUUGGUUAUUUAUAUGCCUUGUAAAUUUGGAGAUAAUCUGAGAUGAUUAUUUAAAAUAUUGUAAUACUACCCUAAAUUUUUUUGGACCCUCUUAUGGGACAAAAAACUUAGUUAUUGCACCCUUAACCUUUUUCAAUUUUAGAGGAAUUUUCCAUUACUUAAAUAAUUUUCUCUUCUUCUCUGUGCACUACAUGAGUUUACAUUUCUUCUUUACUUAAUAUUGUUUGUUCCUCUAUAUUUGCAAGUUGAUUAUUAAAUUUAUUUACCUUUUAAUCUAAUGUUUGUAUCUCGUUUUAUUCUAAUUAUCCCAUGACUCUUCUUAAGACCUUGUCUUUCACGUUGAAUCAUCUAAUGCUAAACUUAUUCCCUUACUAUUCUACUUUGUGUACUCAUGGGAUUAAUGUAUUGCAAUCAAAAUUAUUUUUUUUAAUCUCUUUUUCUCUUGUAUGUUCUACAUUCCUCUAUACCUCACAAAUAAAAGCAAGUAACCUUACAGCUUGUUUGACAAUAUAUUUGCAACUAAUGUUCAAAAAAUAGUUUUCCCCAACACAAUGUUGAAAAUAAUGAACAAAAUUUUAUUUGAAAAUUCAAAUAUGAAGAACGACUUUCUCGACUUAUUAACUAUGAAGGUGCUAUAAAUUUUUGUACAACAUAACAAUUCUCUAAGUAUUAUCUAUAUUUUCAAUUCUUUAUCACAAUACUCUAUAAGAAAAUACCUAAAAACAUUUCAAAUAUGCUCUUAAAAAUGAACUUGUUUACCAAACAAAUUUUUGAAAAUUAUUUUUAAUAAAAGAAAAAAUUAAAAAUAUAAUCAAGUGACAUGAAAUAUGGGAUGAAAAAUAAUAAGUUCUGUAUAUUAGAUUGACUAUACACACAGUUUAUAUUGGAUAUUACAAGAGAAGAAAUAAGAAACAAGAGACAUAAUAGAAAACUAACUUAUUCAUAAACUAACUUAUUCCUAAAUCAUAAAACUAUCUAUUUACAAAAAUAAAAAACUAAUAUAAUAUGAAAAUAAUUCUCCUAUUCUAUUUACAGCUCAAUUACAACCUAUUUACAGCUCAACACUCCCCCUCAAGCUAAGGAAUAGAUGUCUUCCAUUCCAAGCUUGAAUACAAGAUCGUGAAACAUUGAACUGUUCAGCCCUUUUGUUAGGAUAUCAACUAAUUGAUGUUUUGAUGGAACAUAGGACAUACACACUACUCCUUCCUCCAAUUUUUCUUUGAUAAAAUGCCUAUUAAUCUCAAUAUGUUUUGUCCUAUUGUGUUGUAUAGGGUUAUGAGCAAUAUUGAUAGCUGACUUGUUGUCACAAUAGAGCUUCAUAUGACCAUCCCACUUGAUUCUCAAAUCAUCUAGAAUAAUCUUCAGUCAAAGUAGUUCAUACAACCCUUGAGCAAUGUCCCUAAACUCUGAUUUUGCAGACGACCUUGCUACCACAUUCUGCUUUUUACUUUUCCAUGUUACCAGAUUACCUCGAGGAAAAGUACAAUACCCUAUAGUUGAUCUUCGAUCCACUAGGGAACCUGCAUAGUCAACGUCAGUAUAUGCUUCUAGAGUAAGAGUAUUGUUCUUUUUGAACAAAAUUCCUUUCCCGGGGUUGCCUUUCAAGUAAUGCAGCACCCUGUAAGCAACUUGAAGAUGAGGUUCUCUUGGAUCAUGCAUGAAUUGACUGAUCACGCUCACCGAGUAGGCGAUGUCUGGCAAGUGUGAGCAAGGUAUAUGAGCCUACCAACUAGCCUUUGGUACAUUCUUUUAUCCACCACUGGUUCUUCUUUAGCUUCUCCCAACUUGUGAUUUGGAUCCAUUGGGGUAGAGACUAGUUUACACCCAAUCUUCCUUGUUUCUGUCAAUAAAUUAGUCACAUACUUUUGUUGAUAGAUGAAGAUCUCUUGUGUGGAAUAUGCCACCUCAAUAUUGAGGAAGUGCUUUACUUUCCCUAGUUCCUUUAUCUCAAACUCUGUUGCUAAUCUUUGCUUCACUUCAUGCUUUUCUCUCUCAUCAUUUCCAGUCAUUAUGAUGUCGUCAACAUAGACUAGAAAAGCAAUUACUCCCCCUGUAGCCGAGUGCUUAAUGAAGAGAGUGUGGUCACCUUGGCUUUGCUUGUACCCAUACUCUUUCAUGACUUUUUCAAAUCUCUCAAACCAAGCCCUAGGAGAUUGUUUUAGCCUAUAAAGGGCCUUUUUCAGCCUACACACCUUGUUACCUAUGUUUCCCUCAAAUCUUGGUGGGAUGUUCAUGUAAAUCUCUUCAUCUAAAUCACCAUGAAGAAAUGCAUUCUUAACAUCAUACUAUAGGAGUUGCCAAUUGUAGUGGGUAGCCAAGGACAGUAGGAUUCUUAUAGUAUUCAUUUUUGCAACUGGAGCAAAAGCCUCCUGAUAAUCAACUCCAUAAGUUUGAGUGUACCAUUUGGCUACCAAUCUUGCUUUAUGUCUCUCAAGAGAUCCAUCAGUCUUAUAUUUCAGCGUGAAAAUCCACUUGCAAUUAACAAUGUUUUUCCCUUUCGUCUUUCAACAAUCUCCCAUGUUUUAUUAUUUUCUAAUGCAUUCAUCUCCUCUCUCAUAGCAUCCUUCCAUUCCCUUUUUGUCAAUACCUCAGAAACAGUGUUAGAGAUGAUAGUGGUGUUUAAACUCACAAUGAAAUUCUUGUGGGCUAGUGAUAGGUGCUUAAGAGACACAUAGUGUGAUAGUGGAUAGAGUGGUUAAUUAGUGCAUUAUCCGGUGCCUUUUCUGACAGCAAUGAGAAGGUCUAGGUCUAGGUUGUCUGUUGAGUCAAUGGAAGUUUCACCAAGUUGUGUAUGUAAAGGUGGGUCUAAUCUUACCGUGAUUUCAUUCCUAGGAUUUGAGUUGGAUUCUUGGACCUGCUAUUGUUCUGGAAUGACCUUUUCCCUUUAAUACAUCUUAGGAAACUGUGGAAAAUUACAAGUGACACUGGUUGGAAUAGGGAAUGACACGGGUUUAGUGGUAAAAUUGGGUGACUCAGGUGUGAUUAGUUCGGAUGACUCAAGUUCUUCAUCACCAUGGGUUGAGACAUGAGGAAGGUUAAGAGGUUCAAAGGAGUCACAAGGACUAUCCUCCAUCAUUGAAAUCUCCCCCUAAAUAGAGGACUUGGGAAAAAAGGUUUAUUUUCUGUGAAGGUGACAACUGCAGAGAUGUAAAAUUUUCUGGCUAAGGGAUUGUAACACUUGUAUCCUUUUUGAGUAGAUGAGUAAACCAAGGAAGACACAUUUUAUGGCUCGGGGGUCUAGCUUGUCUCUAUGAUGGUUGUGGACAUGAACAAAUGCAAUGCAUCAAAAUACACUAGGAGUGAGCCCAUAUGAGGUUCUAAAGUGUGGAUAGAAACUCUUAAGUAUCUCUACGGGGCUUUUGUUGUCUAACACUUGUGAGAGAAUUCUAUUUAUCAUGUAUGUGGCAGUAAGAACAGCUUCCCCCCAAUAGGACUUAGGAACAUUCCCUUGAAAGAGUAAGGCUCGGGUUGUGUUGAGUAAAUGCCCAUUUUUUCUCUCGGGUAUCCCAUUUUGUUGGGGUGUGUUAACACAUGAUGAGUCAUGGAGAAUGCCCUGUGAUUGAAAAUUGGGUGACAAAGUAUGGUUAAAGUAAUCUCUAGCAUUGUCUGUCUUAAAACUUUUUAUUUUAACCCCAAAUUGGUUUUGAACCAUUGAGUGGAAAUUAGGUAUAACAAUGCUAACAUCAGAUUUUUGUUUAAGAAGAAAGAUCCAUGUAAUCUGAGUGCAGUCAUCAAUUAAGGAUACAAACCAACGAGCCCCAUAAACAUUAGGUAUAGUCGAAGGACCCCAUAUGUCACUAAGAAUCAAAUGAAAAGGAUGAGAACUUCUUUUAUUGCUAAUAGGAAAAAAUUCACGAGUAUGUUUUGUCAAUUCACAAGUUUUGUAAUGAAACUUAGAAAUAUCUAAUCCUUGAAACAAAUGAGGAAACAUGACCUUUAAAACCCUAAAAGAUGGAUGACCUAGACGUAGGUGAUACAACCAAAUGGUAUCUUUAUUUAAGGAACUCUAAAAAGACACACAAAUUAUUACUAGUUUUCUGAGAUGAUUCAAGGUGAUAAAGACCGCUCAUUUCCUUAGCAAGUCCAAUCCUCCUUCCCGAGCCUUGUUCCUGAAAAACACAAUAAGAAUGGAAAAAAAUAGCAGAACAUUUAAGAUCAUGGGUAAGCUUUUGAAUGGAAACAAGGUUGGCCGACAAUUUUGGUACAUGGAGGACAUUUUUAAGAAUAAGGGUAGGUGUGAUAUAUAUGUCUCUGAAACCUGCAACGGUAACUAAAAAGCCAUUGGCCAUUGCAAUUUUCUUGUUACUUGGGUUUGAGGUAUAGGUAUGGAAAAGUUGAGAUUUGGAGGUCAUAUGGUCUGUGGCACCGAAGUCUAUUAUCCAAUAGUCAUUAUAAACCUUGUGUGAGGCAUUUAUGCAAAAUGAGAGUGAAGGUGUACCUGAAUUUUCCAACAUCUUCCACGAAAAAAAAAACCUGAUCUCUUGGGAAUUAAGGUAGAUCGCGAAACAAAAAAACCAGCAACAAUGAAGGUUGGUAAAAGAACACGUGAAUAAAAAAAAUCUAACUAUGAAGGCCAGAAAAAUGGCGAUGAAGGCCAGAAUGAUGCCCAGGUCUUAAAAACCUACUGCUCUGAUACCAUGACACGAAAUGUGGGAUGAAAAAUAAUAAGUUUUGUAUAUUAGAUUGACUAUAUACAUAGUUUAUAUUGGAUAUUAUAAGAGAAGAAAUAGGAAACAAGAGACAUAAUAGGAAACUAACUUAUUCCUAAAUCAUAAAACUAUCUAUUUACAAAAAUAGGAAACUAACAUAAUAGGAAAAUAAUUCUCCUAUUCUAUUUACAGCUCAAUUACAACCUAUUUAUAGCUCAACAUUAAGUUAUAAAACUAUUUUAUAUUCUAAAGAAAAAAAAAAUCUAUUUUCAAAAACAAUAUCUAUAUAAGCAUUUUUCUUUUAAGUAUGAUUUUAAAAUGUUUUUCCAUGAGUCUAAUUGUUGCUAGGAUUUUGACCAAUAAACAAAUAUGUGUGACUUUCCUCGUCAUUGUAAUUUAUAUUUGGGAAAAAAAUGGGGAUUUCAUCAAAAUAUGAAACUUAUGUAACAAUUAUUAGCAACCUAAAUAUAAAUAAAACUAAAACGGAGAAUUUACUUGUUUAUGGAAUAAAUAGUUGAAAAUUUUAUAAGCAUUGAGGAUGGUCAUAAAUCAUGUUGUAAUUAAUAAAAGCAUUUCUAGGUUAUGGAACUUGGGUGGCAAAUUGGUAGAUUUCUAGCCAAACUAGUAUUUGUCUCUAUAAUAAAAUCUCUUAUCAUAAAGGGUAAUGAUACUUUAGAAAGGUCAACUUCAAAUUGGGCCUUUAGAAGCAAUUAAGAUAUUUACAUUAUUUUAUUGCAUGUAUACUUGACAUGACAUAAUGAAAUUUUAUUUAAACAUGCAAUUCAACACAUUUUUAAUUUACAUUCUAUUUGACCUUAAUUUAAUGGCACCGAACGAAACUAAGAAUCAUUCUAUAAUUUCCAUUUACUUCAUCUUUGUUUUCUUUGACAAUUGAUUGUAGCUCACUGCAUGUUUUAUUGUACUUUAUAAUGGACAGAUUUGAGUCAGAGUUUAUUCAAGAAAUCAUUGGUGAGAUUCGAAGAUUAACUCCUAAGUUGGUACAUGUUGGUGAGAACAUAGUUGGAAUGGAUGAAAAUUUGAAAGAGGUGGAGUUAUUGAUAAACGCCCAAUCAAAUGGAGUGAGCAUGGUUGGGAUUUAUGGGAUUGGUGGGAUUGGUAAAACUACCAUUGCCAAGGUUGUUUACAAUGAUAUGUUAGAUCAAUUUCAACGUCACAGCUUUCUUGAAAAUGUGAGGGAGAAAUCUAAAGAUGAUCAUGGUUUGCUUGAAUUACAAAAAAAACUUCUUUGUGAUAUCCUAAUGGAGAAAAAUCUGAAGUUAAGAAAUAUUAAUGACGGUAUCAAAAUGGUAAAGAGGAAGUGUCGCAUUGAAAAGGUUCUCAUUGUUCUUGAUGAUGUAGAUUGUCAAAAACAAUUAAAAUUCUUAGCUCCUAAUUCUGAAUGUUUUCAUCAAGGAAGCAUAAUCAUCGUGACCACGAGAAAUAAACGUUGCCUAGAUGUACAUAAGUCAUAUUCAUCAUAUGAGGCUAAGGGAUUAGCACACACGCAAGCUAAGGAACUCUUUUGUUGGAAUGCCUUUCAGCAAGACCAUCCCGAGUAUGAGGACCUCUCUAAUUGUAUACUAGAUUAUGCUAAAGGCCUUCCAUUGGCUCUUGUAGUUUUGGGUUCUUUUCUCUAUCAAAGGGAUGUGGAUUACUGGGAAAGCACACUGCAUAAACUAAAAACAAACCCUCUUGAGGAUAUUCAAAAGGUACUCCAGAUAAGUUAUGAUGGACUAGAUAAUAAAUGGAAGGAGUUGUUUCUUGAUAUUGCAUGUUUCUUCAGAAAUGAGGAUAAAAAAGUUGUUACAAGAAUACUAGAAGGUUGCAAAUUCCAUCCUAAGUCUGGACUAACGGUUCUUCAUGAGAGGUGUCUUAUUUCUAUAACAGACGACACCAUAAGGAUGCAUGACUUGUUACAAGAAAUGGGUUGGGCAAUUGUUCGCCAAAAUUUUCCAGAACAUCCUGAAGAAUGGAGCAGAUUGUGGGAAUUACAGGAUAUUAAAAGUGUUUUACCACAAAAUAAGGUAGGAGAAAAAUACAUGAACUUACUUGAGAUCUAAAGACAUAUAAAAGAUUCAACAAGAAUUAUUUUUAUUAUUAUUAUAGUUUUGAGUAUCUUAUCUAUAUAAUUUUAGUGAAUCCCUAUGCAUCUUAUAUUGCUUAUUCUCAAUGCUUGUUUUCAGGGGACAAAAAACAUAGAGGGGAUAUCCAUAAAUCGGUCUUGGGAUAGUAAAAAACGUAUACAACUUACUGCUGAAGCUUUCAGAAAGAUGAAUCGACUUAGAUUGCUCAAAGUUAAAGGCGAUAUGGUGCAGCUUUCCUAAGACUUUGAAUUGCCUUGUCAUGAUUUAGUAUAUUUUCAUUGGGAUAACUACCCUUUGGAAUAUUUGCCAUCAAAUUUUCAUGUAGAAAAUCCUGUUGAACUUAACCUCUGGUACAGCAACAUAGAACAUCUUUGGGAAGGAAACAUGGUAUUGCUAUUAUUUAGUUAUAUUUUUGCUCUAGACUAAUUUUAAAGUCUUUUGAAGUUUACUUAUUGAAACGAAUUUUCUUCUGUUACAGCCUGCUAAAAAGUUAAAAGUCACUGAUCUUAGUUAUUCCAGGCAUCUGGUUGACAUUUCAAACAUCUCAAGUAUGCAAAAUUUGGAGACUCUAAUUCUAAAAGGUUGUACAAGGUUACUUAAGUGUUUCACCCAUGCUUAAUGUUAUUAUUAGUCAUGAACUAACUGUUUUCUUGAAUAUAAUAGGAUGCAAGAGACUUGAGAGUCUUCCAAGGAACUUUCAUAAGCUGGAAUGCCUUCAAACACUCUCUUGUGAUGGCUGUUCAAACUUAAAAGUUUUCCGAAGAUCAAGGAAGAAAUGAGAAGUCUAAGAAAGCUUAAUUUAAGUCAUACAAGUAUAAUGGAAUUAACAUCAUCAAUUAGGCAUCUAAAUGGGCUUGAAGAGUUGGACUUAAGUAAUUGCAAAAACCUUUUGAGUCUUCCGGACAGUAUUGGUAGUUUGAACUCUCUUCAAACUCUCGAUCUAGUUGAGUGUUCAAAACUAGUGGGUUUUACAAAUAUCAAUAUUGGAAGUCUAAAAGCUCUUGAAUAUUUGGAUUUGUCAUGGUGUGAGAACCUUGAGAGUCUUCCAAAUAGUAUUGGUAGUUUGAGCUCUCUUCAAACUCUUUUAUUGAUAGGGUGUUCAAAAUUGAAGGGCUUUCCAGAUAUCAAUUUUGGAAGUCUAAAAGCUCUUGAAUUGUUAGAUUUCUCACACUGCAGAAACCUUGAGAGUCUUCCUGUGAGCAUUUACAAUUUGAGCUCUCUCAAAACUUUGGGGAUUACAAAUUGUCCAAAACUCGAGGAAAUGUUAGAGAUUAAAUUAGGGGUUGAUUGGCCAUUUUCACCUCUAACCUGUCACAUUUCAAAUUCAGCAAUAACCUGGUAUGAUGACUGGCAUGACUGCUUUUCCUCAUUAGAAGCAUUAAACCCACAGUGCCCCCUGUCAUCACUGGUAGAAUUAUCUGUAAGAAAGUUUUAUGGCAUGGAAGAAGACAUCCUCAGUGGCAGUUUCCACCUAUCCUCAUUGCAAAUAUUAUCUCUAGGGAACUUCCCUAGCGUGGCAGAAGGAAUCCUCGAUAAGAUUUUCCAUCUAUCCUCGUUGGUAAAAUUAUCUCUUACUAAAUGCAAGCCAACGGAAGAAGGAAUCCCUGGUGAUAUUUGGAACCUAUCUCCACUGCAACAAUUAUCUCUACGUGACUGCAAUCUAAUGGAAGGAAAGAUCCUCAAUCAUAUUUGCCAUCUAACAUCCUUGGAAGAAUUAUAUCUGGGUUGGAACCAUUUUAGUAGCAUACCUGCUGGCAUCAGUCGACUUUCUAAUCUAAAGGCCCUUGACUUGAGUCAUUGCAAGAACCUUCAACAAAUUCCAGAGCUUCCAUCAAGUCUACGAUUUUUAGAUGCGCACUGUUCGGAUGGUAUUUCAUCAAGCCCCUCGCUUCUACCUAUUCAUUCUAUGGUCAAUUGCUUCAAAUCAGAAAUUGAGGUAUGAUUCUCAUGCCACGUUCCUCUUUCUUUUGUACCCAUUGAAUUUACAUGGUGCUUUUGUGCAGGACCGCAAGGUUAUUAAUCAUUAUUCUUACUUCUGGGGCAAUGGAAUUGGUAUUGUUAUUCCUAGAAGUAGUGGAAUUCUAGAGUGGAUAACAUAUCGGAAUAUGGGAAGGAAUGAAGUAACAGUAGAGCUCCCUCCGAAUUGGUAUAAAAAUGAUGACUUGUGGGGAUUUGCUUUAUGCUGUGUUUAUGUUGCACCUGCCUAUGAAUCUCAGUAUGAAUUAGGUCAUAUAUCUAAGGAUGACGCUGAACUUGAAGAUGAAGGACCAGGGUUCUGUUGUGAUUUGAGUAUCGAAGGAAAUAAUCAAUCAGGAGACGUGGGUUUUUUCCUUCUUUAUUCUUGCUGUGUUAAAUAUGAUGUGUCAGAUAUGCAGUGGGUGAUAUGUUAUCCCAAGUUAGCUAUUGAGGAAAGUUAUCACACCAAUCAAUGGACACACUUCAAGGCUUCAUUUGGUGGUGCCCAAGUGGAAGAGUGCGGAAUCCGUCUUGUAUACACAGAAGAUUAUGAACAGAAGCAUCCAGCAAUGGCACAAGGCAGUACUUCUCAUGGGAAUUUUGGUGAGCAUGGAUCGGUAAGAGAAGAUACUGAUAGUAAGCUCACAAUAAAAGGAAUCCCACAGAACAGAGCCCAAGAGAGGAGUCACACCAUAAAAGAUCCAUAGAAACCCAAGACUGAUCCCAAGUAUUAGGCUCAACCACACUUGCAUCACUAAUGCUAUCUUUACUGGUAAUUCAUCUUCCUUUCUCUUUCUAAUUCAAAGGUCAGAAUUUUUUUUUAUCGUGUUUCUCCUUUUUAUUUGUCUUUUUCCCCAAGACAAACAAAACUUUGAGGCUAUCACCCAUGGGCGCAAACUUCAAUGGUACACCUCCCAAGUUUGUUUUUCUCUCUCUCCAACCGUCUUUCCCUAGAUUUUUCUGCAUUUUCUUCAAACCCAUAUUUCCAUAUGAAAUUCAAUUACAUUCGAGCAUUUCAAUCUCUGUAGCUACUGUCUGAAUCAUUUAUAGGGUUUCUUUUUUCUGGAAGUUUGUAAUGUUAUUGAUUUAAGACUUCAUGUUUGGGGAUGUUUUGGGUGGCUUGUUCACUGGUAUUAAUUGUGAUAAUUGCAGCUCUGGUGCUUUCAAUGACUUUGACAAUAGUCGAAACUAUGUUGAAUGCUUGUACCAAGGGAAUGGACUUCAGUUGCUCUAGGGUUAGUGCUAUAACAUCAGUAUUCACUCUUCAAGAAUGUAUAUAGUUGUUGUUUUGGAAUUUUGAAAUUACUUAGCAUCAGACAAUUUCUAACUCGGGAUUUGGAUUGGGAACCAUAAGUUAUCAUUAGAGAGUGUAUGAGAAGGAAUUUUAGAGUGAGAUGGGUGAUGCAUGUUGAGGGAUGAAAGAGGGAUGUAUCUCACCCUAGAGUUCUUUGGAAUAAUUAUAGGAUUUUGUAAGUAACUUUGGACUUACUUGCAAUGUUCUGGAUUUGUGAAUAAUUUAUAGAAUGCAUUGGGUUUUUUUUUUUUGUUUUUUUUUUUGGUCCAUAAGAAACUAAAAGAACUUUGAGAGUGAAUAAUGUAUGACUGUACUCUUCUCUAUCUCUCUGGUCAUAGCACACGUAUGAUUUGGUACUUUUUUGCAGGCUUCAACAGCAGCAAAGCAUCUGGUGGCUUGCAGUACUAAUCUUACAUUAUAUUCUCUGUUUUGCAAUCAUUUGGUACUUUUUGUCCCAACCAAGGAUAGCUCUGUGCAACAGUCUCGACUGUGGAACAAGUAAAACAAAUGGUACCUGCUGAAGCUGAGAGGGCAGAUAAUAAAUUGGUGCGGAAGGUGGUCAACCAAAAGAAUCAGACAGCAAAAACUAAAAAAGCCGAUGAAGCCUGCUACUGAAGCAGUCUCAGCACCUGUUUCUAGGAGGGGUGAGAUUGAAGUGACUGAAGAAAAGGAGCGUGAGCAAACAAAGAAGGAAGAGGAGUUGGCCAGGAAGGUAGAGGAAUUGAGAAGUGAAGAGGAAGCAGCCAUGUUGAAGGAGAAAAGUCUGUUGGAGGAGAAAGCCAACGUUAAGAAGGCAUUGGAAAGGAAACAAGGAACUGCAGAAAAGGCCAAUUUCUCUGUGAGUGCUGCCACCUUUUCGUGAUACAGCCAUAAUAAUGGAUGUUAAAAGCAGUCUAACUCUACAUGGCGUUUAUUUUCCCCAGCCAUAGAUUGGAAUCUGCCAGUCUGACUCUCAUAAGAAAGAAAAUUUUCCAUCGAUCCUCGUAUGGAUUAUUGGAGAAGAUUUUAACAUGGAGUUCACAAGAGAGUUUCUAACACCCACUUAAAAGGACAUUUUAGAAAACUUAUUGAAAAAUAACAUGAGAGUACAUAAAUUUUUAGAUAUUUUUAAAAAUAUUUGAAAAUUUAAAUUAACUAAAAGUAUUUGAAAAAUAUUUGAUUGAAUUAACAAAUAUCAAGUAUUUGCAUAUGAAAAAAUAAUAAACAUUGUGAAGAAUUUUUUUAUUAAUUAGUGCAUAAUAAUUUUAUUUUCCUUUUAAUCACAAAUUAAUCUAUGGCAAAAUCUCAUAUUUGUUGUAGGGACAAUGUUGUCUUACAUUUUUCUUUCAUGAUGGACUCAAAUUUUAAUUUAAAUGUAGUAUAAAUAUAUAAUUAGAUUGAAAUUUCGUCCACUAAGAUUGAUUGGGUAUGAAUUUGAACCCUCGUUCGGGUCAUACUUCCAUCCAAUCCAAGCUUGUGGUUGGGCUUGAAUUUCUUGGCCCAACCAGUAAUGUCAUUGACCAAUAGCCCUUAGUUUGGGCUGGGCUUGAUGGUCCUCAGGCUAUGCAGACUUAAUACUCAUUGGGUUUGGGAUUCCAUGUAGUUGUAAUUAGAUUCUAUGUUUCCUAAUAUUAACACUAAAUUAGGUUUAAUUUAUAAUUAAAUAUAAUUAGAAGAGGAAAAUGAAAUAUCAUAUCCUUGCAAUGAGUUAUGUGGAUAUUUCAUUUAAAAAGUCUAAUGUGAAAGGUUGUUAUGGGUAGUCGUUUUUUGAUGCAAAUUUUCUAUGGAGUCCUAAUCUUAGAAGGCAAUAGAAAAUUCACAACCAAGAUUUCUUAAAAAUAACUACAUUAAAGUGUAAACAAAAUAUCAAACUAGAAUUUCUUAGAAAUAUCAAACUAGAAAGUGAAAUAUAAUACAAUUCAAGUAUGAAAAUGAAGGACAAAAGAAUAGACCAAAUUUGAAAGACCGUUCAAAGACUCGUUUCUUGUUACAAUCCAAUCAUGACUUCCACUAGUAGAGAUCCUCUUCUUCUUCUUCUUCUUCUAAUUCCAAAUUGAGGGACCAUGCGUUCUUGAGUACCCUCAAAAGCUUUUUUGAUCAUUUAUACUGUAUAACCUUACUUGUAAUAACUGUAUAAGAUAUUUGUGCUAAUUGAUAAGAUAUUUGUGCUAAUUGUAUAAAACAUGUCCUUAUACAUCUUGAAUUUAUAAAUUUAUGAAUUUAUGAAUAACCCAAUAAUCAAUGACUUCUUAAUAAAAUUUUUUUAAUUUUGUUGCCUUAAAAGUCAUGUCCCUCCUUUACAAAGCUUCUUAGAAAUUUCAUAUAUUUUUUUUUGUCAUCAUCUAUAUUUCAUAUUUCUUUUUCGUCUUCAAUAUUUGUGUAUAUAUCUAAAAUAAAACCUAUAAGAAAAUGAAAAAUUUACACUUAAAAAGUGUUUAUUUGAAAUUUAGGCAAUGAACUUAAAGGAGUUUGGAAUUACUCCUCGAAGUUGAUAUGUUUGUUUUAAAAUCAAAGUGGAUUUCAAUUUUCUUUAAAUCCACGUUAUGAUAUUACGGUAAUAUGUAGUGUCUUUAAAACCAUGGCUUCCUCUAGCAAUUCUAAGAGACCCUUUUACUCUUCUUCUUCUUCUAAUUCUAAAUGGAGGUACGAUGUGUUCUUGAGUUUCAGAGGCGAGGAUACCCGCAACAACUUUACUAGUCAUCUCUACAAGGCUUUGGAUCAUGCCAACAUUGAAACCUUCAAAGAUGAUAAAGAACUUCGAAGGGGAGACGAGAUUGCACCCGAGCUCCUAAAAGCUAUUGAAGGAUCAAGGAUUGCCCUUAUUAUCUUCUCGAAAACCUAUGCUCAUUCCAAGUGGUGCUUGGAUGAACUCGUCAAGAUCAUGGAGUGCAAGGAAGAAAAGGGACAAAAGGUUUUUCCUAUUUUCUAUCAUGUAGAGCCGUCUGAAGUCAGGAAACAGACUGGGAUUUAUGGAGAAGCAUUUAACAAUCACGAGAGCAAUGCAGACGAGGAGAAGAAGAAGAAGAUAGAGAAGUGGAGGACUGCCUUAUGGAAAGCCGGUAAUUUGAGUGGAUUUCCUCUGCAGGAUAGGUAAUCCCUACAUCGCUUUUUCCAUUUCCCAUUUUCUGUCAGUUUAUUUUCAUUCUUCUUAAUAAAUAAAAUAUUUAUGAUUACAUAUAUCAAUCAAAAUCCAUUUUUAAGUAGUAGACAUUGAUUAAUAUGUUUGAUUUCUUGGAAAGUAAUAAGAAGAGUUAAAAAAAAAUGAUUUUCUUAUAUUUAAUUUAUUAUUAAAAAUAUGAAAGAAAAUAAAAUAUAAUUUAAAUACAUUGGAAAACUAUAAUAGGAAUAAUAUUAGAUAAUGUAUGAUAGCUGUUGUGGGCUCAUUCAGUCACAGCAGGUGAUAACAGUCAAUAAAAUAAAAUAAUUAUCCCAAAUGCCAAGUUUUGAAUUGUUAAAAAUUCUUAAGAUUCCAAAAUGUUCUUAGUUUCUAAUCAAUCCAUUUCAGCCAUAAUUUCUAUCAAUUUAAAAAGAUGGUAGUUUGUCAAAUAAAUUGUUAAAAUUGCUUAUUUAUAUGCUUUGUAAAUUUGGAGGUAAUCUAGGAUGAUUAUUUAGAAAAUUGUAAUACUGCCUUAAAUUUUUCUAGACCCCUCUUAUGGGACAAAAAACUUAGUUAUUAAACCCUUUACCUUUUUCAAUUUUUGAGGAAUUUUCUAUUACUAAAAUAAUUUUCUCAUAUUCUCUAUGAACUACAUGAGUUUACAUUUCUUCUUUCCUUAAUAUUGUUUCUUCCUUUAUAUUUGCAAGUUGAUAAUCAAAUUUAUUUGCCUUUUAAUCUAUUGUUUGUAUCUCGUUUUAUUCUAAUUUUCCAUGACAUCAAGAUAAUUAAUCUCAUCUUAAGACCUUGUCUUUCACAUUGAAUCAUCUAAUGCUAAAAUUAUUCUCUUGCUAUUCUACUUUGUGUACUCAUGGGAUUGAUAUAUUGCAAUCGAAAUUGCAUUUUUUUUUCUCUUUUUCUCUAGUAUGUUCUACAUUCCUCUAUGCCUCAAUUACAAAUAAAAGCAAGUAACCUUAGAGCUUGUUUGACAGUAUUUUUGAAAAUAAUGUUCAAAAAAUAGUUUUCCCCUAGCCAAUUUUGAAAAUAAUGAACAAAAUUUUACUUGAAAAUUCAAAUAUGAAAAAUGUCUUUCUCGACUUAUUAACUAUGAAGGUACUAUAAAUUUAUGUACAAUUUAACAAUUCUCUAAUUAUUAUCUACAUUUUCAAUUUUUGAUCACAAUACUCUAUAAGAAAAUACCUUAAAACAUCUCAAAUGUGCUCUUAAAGAUGAACUUGUUUACCGAACAAAUUUUUGAAAAUAAUUUUUAGUAAAAAUGAAAAUUAAAUAUAUAUUUAAGUUAUAAAACUAUUUUAUAUUCUAAAGAAAAAAAUCUAUUUUCAAAAACAAUAUCUAUACAAGCAUUUUUCUUUUAAGUAUCAUUUUAAAAUCUUUUUCCAUGACUCUUAUUAUUGCUAGGCUUUUGACCAACAAACAAACAUGUGUCACUUUCCUUGUCAUUCUAAUUUAUAUUUGGGAAAAAAAUGGGGAUUUCAUCAAAAUAUGAAACUUAUGUAGCAAUUAUUAGCAACCUAAAUAUAAAUAGAACUAAAGUGAAAAUUUACUUGUUUACAAAAUAAAUAGUUGAAAGUCUUAUAAGCAUAGAGGAUGGUCAUAAGUCAUGGUGUAAUUAAUAAAAGCAUUGCUAGGUUAUGGAACUUGGGUGACAAAUUGGUAGAUUUCUAGCCAAACUAGUACUGGUCUCUAUAAUAAAAUCUCUUAUCAUAAAGGAUAAUGAUACUUUAGAAAGGUCAACUUCAAUUUGGACCUUUAGAAGCAAUUGAGAUAUUUUCAUUAUUUUAUUGAACAUAUACUUGACAUAACAUAAUGAAAUUUUAUUUAAACAUGCGACUCAACACAUUUUUAAUUUACAUUCUAUUUGACCUUAAUUUAGUUGCAUUGAAUGAAACAAAACACCAUUCUAUUAUUUCCAUUUACUUCAUCUUUGUUUUCUUUGGCAAUUCAUUCUAACUCACUGCAUGUUUUAUUAUACUUUAUAAUGGACAGCCCUGAGUCAGAGUUUAUUGAAGAAAUCAUUGGUGAGAUUCGAAGAUUAAUUCCUAAGUUGGUACAUGUUGGUGAGAACAUAGUUGGAAUGGAUGAAAAUUCGAAAGAAGUGAAGUUAUUGAUAGACUCCCAAUCAAAUAAAGUGAGUAUGGUUGGGAUUUAUGGGACUGGUGGGAUUGGUAAAACUACCAUCGCCAAGGUUGUUUACAAUGGUCUGUUAGAUCAAUUUAAGCGUCACAGCUUUCUUGAAAAUGUGAGAGAGAAAUCUAAAGAUGAUCCUGGUUUGCUUGAAUUACAAAAAAAACUUCUUUAUGAUAUCCUCAUGGAGAAAGAUUCGAAGAUAAGUAAUAUUGGUGAAGGAAUAAAAGAGAUAAAGAGUAAGUGUUGCUUUGAAAAGGUUCUUAUUAUUCUUGAUGAUGUAGAUUGUCUAAGACAGUUAGAAUUCUUAGCUCCUAAUUCUGAAUGUUUUCAUCGAGGAAGCAUAAUCAUCGUGACCACAAGAAAUAAACGUUGCCUAGAUGUACAUAAGUCAUAUUCAUCAUAUGAGGCUAAGGGAUUAGCACAUGAGCAAGCUAAGGAGCUCUUUUGUUGGAAUGCCUUUAAGCAACACCAUCCAAAAGACAAUUAUGUGGACCUCUCUAAUCGUAUACUGGAUUAUGCUAAAGGCCUUCCAUUGGCUCUUGUAGUUUUGGGUUCUUUUCUUUAUAAAAGGGGUGUGGAUGAAUGGGAAAGCACAUUGCAUAAACUAAAAACAACCCCUUUCAAGGAUAUUCAAAAUGUGCUCCAGAUAAGUUAUGAUGGACUAGAUGAUAUAUGCAAGAAGUUGUUCCUUGAUAUUGCGUGCUUCUUCAAAGAUCACAAUAAAGAAUUUGUUACAAGUAUACUAGAAGGUUGUGAUCUCCAUCCCAAGAUUGGACUAAAAGUUCUUGAUGAGAGGUGUCUCAUUUCUAUAUUGGGUGGCACUAUAAGGAUGCAUGACUUGUUACAAGAAAUGGGUUGGGCAACAGAUUGUGGGAAUAUGAGGAUAUUAAAAGUGUCUUUACAAAAAAUAUGGUAAGAGAAAAAUAUAUGAAUAUACUUGAGAUCUAGAUCUAAAGACAAAAGAUUCAACAGUCUUUAUUUUUAUUAUUAUUAUAGUUUGAGUACCUUAUCUAUAUAAUUUUAAUGAAUCCCUAUGCAUCUUAUACUGCUUAUUCUCAAUGCGUGUUUUCAGGGGACAAAAAACAUUGAGGGGAUAUUCAUAAAUUGUACUAAAGCAAAACCUAUACAAUUUACUGCUGAAGCUUUCAAAAAGAUGAAUCGACUUAGAUUACUCAAAGUUGAAGAGGAUAUGGUGCAGCUUUCCCAAGACUUUGAAUUGUCUUGUCAUGAUUUAGUAUAUUUUCAUUGGGUUGCAUACCCUUUAGAAUCUUUGCCAUCAAAUUUUCAUGCUGACAGUCUCGUUGAACUCAACCUCCAGUACAGCAACAUAAAACAUCUUUGGGAAGGAAACAUGGUAUUGCUAUUAUUUAGUUAUACUUUUGCUCUAGACUAAUUUUAAGGUCUUUUGAAGUUUACUUAUUGAAACAAACUAUCUUCUGUUACAGCCUGCUAAAAAGUUAAAAGUCAUUAAUCUUCGGCAUUCCAAGCAUCUGGUUGAUAUUUCAAGCAUCUCAAGUGCGCCAAAUUUGGAGAUUUUAAUUCUAGAAGGUUGUACAAGGUUACUCAAGUGUUUCACCCAUGCCUAAUGUUACUAUUAGUCAUUAACUAACUGUUUUCUUGGAUAUAAUAGGGUGCAUAAGACUUGAGAGUCUUCCAAGGAACCUUCAUACAUUGUGAAGAAUUUCUGAACUCCUUUAUUGAUAUUUUAUCGGUACACACCAUACACAUAUAUAUACACAUAUAUAUACACAAAUGACUGAAUAAGAAAGAAUCAAUCUAGCUUAAUUCUCUCCUAAAAUUAGGAAACUAAAUCAUAAGGAAAUAUCCUAAAUGAUCUCUCAUUUUUUAUUCCUAAAUUAAAGUCCUAACUUUGGCAUUAUUUCAACACUCCCCCUCAAGCUGGAGAAUAUAUAUCAUAUAAUCCCAGCUUGCAAGUUAAGUCUUCGAAGUUAGGCCUAGGUAAAGCUUUGGUGAGGAUGUCUGCGGUUUGGUGCUUGGUAGGAACAUAGUUCAAUUUGACCGUCUCACUAGUCACCUUCUCUGUGAUAAAGUGUCUGUCAAUCUCAACAUGCUUGGUCCUGUCAUGAUGCACGGGGUUCUUUGCUAUGCUUAUAGCUGCCUGAUUAUCACACAUCAUCUGAAUUGGAGAUGAACUCGUUUGUCCCAGUUCACUAAGAACCCUUUUUAUCCAAAUCCCUUCACAGAUUCCCUGUGCAAGAGCUCUGUACUCAGCUUCUGCACUACUUCUGGCUACAACUGAUUGCUUCUUACUCCUCCAGGUAACAAGAUUUCCCCAGACAAAAGAACAAUAUCCGGAAGUGGACCGCCUGUCAAUGAUGUUUCCUGCCCAAUCCGCAUCUGAGUAUACUUCAGUGUCACGGUUCUCUGUCUUUCUGAAGAAUAGGCCUUUCCCUGGUGUCAUUUUUAAAUAUCUAAGAAUCCUGUAGACUGCUUCCAUGUGUUCCUCAGUGGGGCUGUGCAUGAAUUGACUUACAACACUCACUGCAAAGCCAAUAUCUGGCCGAGUGUGUGAGAGAUAAAUCAAGCGCCCGACAAGCCGCUGAUAUCUCCCCCUGUCUACUGGUGUACUUUCUUUCUCGAUACCAAGUUUCUUCUGACUAUCCAUAGGAGUAUCAAUUGGUUUGCAUCCAAGCAUACCGGUCUCCUUAAGAAGAUCGAGUAUGUAUUUUCUUUGAGAGACUACGAUUCCCUUCCUUGAUCUAGCCACUUCCAUACCAAGGAAAUAUUUCAAAUUUCCAAGGUCUUUAACUUCAAACUCUUCUGACAAAUACUUCUUCAAAUUCUGUAACUCCCCCAUAUCAUUCCCAGAUAGAAUAAUAUCAUCGACAUAGACUAUCAAUAUGGCCAAUUUCCCGGCAUGAGACUUCUUGACAAAUAGAGUAUGAUCAGCCUGACCUUGUUUGUAGCCCAGCUUCAGGACUGCUUUUGUGAAUCUAUCAAACCAGGCUCGAGGAGAUUGUUUAAGGCCGUACAAGGAUUUUUGGAGUUUGCAAACCUGAUUCUUUGCCAUACUUUCUUCGAAACCAGGUGGUAUUUCCAUGUAGACUUCCUCUUCUAGGUCCCCAUUUAGAAACGCAUUUUUUAUGUCCAGUUGUUGCAAGCACCAAUCUUGAUUGACAGCCAAUGAGAGAAGGAUCCUGAUAGUGUUCAGUUUUGCAACAGGAGCAAAAGUUUCCUGAUAGUCUAUCCCAUAGGAUUGUGUAAACCCUCUAGCUACCAAACGAGCCUUGAAUCUUUCGAAUGAUCCAUCUGCUUUGUAUUUUAUGGUGAAAAUCCACUUGCACCCCACAGGCCUCUUCCCAACCGGCAAAUCUGUGAUAGUCCACGUCCCAUUCUUCUCAAGUGCAUCAAUCUCAUCUUGUACUGCCUUCUUCCAUUCUGAAAUUUUUAAUGCCUCUUGUAUUGUGUUGGGAACCUGAGUAUCAUCAAGAGAAGUAGCAAAUGCUCUGUAAGAUGGUGAUAAUCCUUCAUACGUAACAUAAUUCCCAAUUGGAUGAUCUGUACAUCUCCUAACACCCUUCCUCAAUGCAAUUGGCAAAGUAGAAUCAUCAAUGCUGGGAAUUAACACCUCUCCAUCCCUAUCCUCACCUAUGUUCUCUUCAGGAAGACUUGAAUUGGAGUCAAUAUAUUGGCCACAUGUUGACUGUGAUCCGUGCUCUAAUUCCUGUCUUUUCCUCCUCCUGAUGUAAACUUGUAAGUUCUCAUUAGCAAGUUGUGGGCUAUAGGUUGAAUAGGCAUGGGAGACUGGAUGGUCACGGGAGAAGGAACAUUUGUGUGCUGGGCUGGCUGAACUGAUGGCGGCAUGGGUGUGGACAACUCAGUGGGCGUGAAUUGGGAAGGAUUUGGUGACUCUGAGUGAAAAGAAGGUACACCCUCAAGAAAAGACUCCCAAACUUGAUGUUCAUUCAUGCUCUCCCCCUGAACAUGAGAUUUGGGAUAGAAGAAGACAUGUUCAAAGAAAGAGACGUCCAUGGUGGUGUAAAAUCUUUUGUUGGUUGGAGAAUAGCAUUUGUACCCUUUUUUGGUUGGAGAAUACCCUAGAAAAAUGCACUUAUUUGCUCGAGGAGCAAAUUUGCUACAAUUUUGAGGAUACACAUGAACGAAUGCUGUGCAACCAAAUACUUUGAGUGGUAAAUCAGAAGAGGCGGCAUGGGUGUGAGGAAACUGUUUUAAGAAAAGUUGACGUGGGGAUUGAAAGGUAAGCACUCUGGAUGGCAUACGGUUAAUCAAAUAGGUAGCUGUGAGAAUAGCUUCCCCCCAGAAAUAGUUUGGAACCUUAGAGGAAAACAUAAGGCACCGGGCAACCUCCAAGAGAUGUCUAUUCUUGUGUUCAGCCACCCCAUUUUGUUGUGGGGUGUCAACGCAAGAACUUAUGUGGAUAAUGCCAUGAUUUUGAAGAUAAGUACUGAGACUACUAGUAAAGUAUUCCUUUGCAUUAUCUGACUUGAGGACUUGUAUUUUGGAAUUGAAUUGAUUUUGAACCAUAAGAUUGAAGGUUUGAAAAAUGUGCCCGACCUCUGACUUUUCUUUCAUAAGGAAAACCCAUGUUACCCGAGUAUGAUCAUCAACGAAUGUCACAAACCAUCGAGUGCCAGAAAUAUUUUUUAUCCGGGAGGGACCCCACACAUCACUAUGUACUAGAGAGAAAACAGUCGAAGGUUUGUAUGGGAUUUGAGGAUAUACUGUUCGAGUAUGCUUUGCAAACUGACAAAUUUCACAGUGAUAAGAUGCUGGAUUUUUAUUGAUAAAUAAUUUGGGAAACAAUUUCGCAAGGUAAACAAAGCUAGGAUGACCAAGGCGAUAGUGUAACAUUAUAAUCUUACUAUCUUUAUUGACCUUAGAAUUUGACACAGAAUUGAAAGACUCUGACAUACUCUGAGACUGUACGCAACUUGCUUGAGAGACUUGGUUUGAGAAUUGGCCACAUGAAAGGAGGUAGAGCCCGGAACACAGUUCAGCACUGCCAAUCAUCUUCCCCGAUUUCAAGUCCUGAAAAACACACAAGUUUGGAUAGAAUUUAGUAACACAUUGGAGAUCACGAGCCAAUUGGCUAAUGGACAAAAGAUUACAAUCCAAGUUUGGAACAUGGAGGACAGAGUCAAGAUAUAAGUCUUUAGUAAGUUUUAUAGAACCUGUCCCGGCAAUUUUUGACUUUGAACCAUCAGCAAUAUGGACGGAUGAAUGACCAUUACUUGGCUUGUAAUUUUGAAGAAUGGCAGCAUCUCCUGUCAUGUGAUCAGAAGCACCUGUGUCUACUAUCCACGGCCUCAUUCCUCCUCGAUUAGCAGUGAAGGCUACACCGGUAGUACUGCCGCUGCCAACUUGGCUUAAUAAUUUCUGUAGCCUCUCCAUCUGCUCUUUGUUGAAUGGACUCGGCUCGGGAACAGAUGUGCUCUCAGAGUUGGCAGCCACGUGUGCUCUGCCAUCUCUGUCAAACCGUGGCUUUGGUUUCCAAUCAGCCGGUUUGCCAUGAAGCUUCCAGCAAGUCUCCUUAUAAUGGCCUGGUUUCUUACAAUAAUCACACCAAGGCCUAUCCCGUUUCUGACGAUCUCCACCACUACUAUUAAAUGACCGAGCAGCAAGGGCAGAGGCAUCCAAUGUUGGGGCAGGUUGCUCUUUUGAUCCCAUCAUCACUUUCUUUCUACUUUCUUCACGCCUAACCUCUGAAAAAGCCUCCCUGAGACUUGGCAGGGGUUUAAUGCCCAUGAUUCGGCCUCUAACAUCAUCCAAUUCCCUGUUUAGUCCUAGGAAGAACUUGAACAGUCUCUUUUGUUCCACAAUUUGCCUGUAUGUUGCUGCAUCAUCCGAACAUUUCCAUGAGUGAGUCUCAAAUAAGUCAAGUUGCUGCCAAUACCUUGUGAGUGUGUUGUAAUACUGAGUAACUGACUGCUCUCCUUGGCGGAAGUCAUGUAGAGCUGAUUCAACCUGAAACAGUUCUGAAGUAUUUUCAGAACUUGAGUAAGUUUCUUUGGCUGCAUCCCAUAUGUCCUUUGCAGUCCCAAACAACAAGAAAUUUUCGCCUAUGUCAUUGUUCAUGGAAUUGAUAAGCCAUGACAUGAUCAUGCUGUUUUCAAUCUUCCACUUCCUAAAACCCGGUUCUGUAGUUUCUGGCAUGACUGCUUCUCCAGUGAGGUACUCAUCCUUUCCUUUACCGCAAAUGAACAGCAACACAGAUUGUGACCACUGUAAAUAGUUAUGGCCAUUUAAUUUGUGUCCUGUGAUGAGAAUAGGAGAGGAAUCAUUGCCACCAAGGUUUGGAAUUUCAGAUCUGCCCCCUGAUUCUGGUGACGUGACGCUGGAUACUUGUGAUGAUGCCAUUCUGUAUUUUGUCAUGGACCGGAAAGGUAGAAGAACACUUCCCAAGGCACGUGCAGGGACUGGAGUUGAGAAAAAAUAGCCGGAGGACGCCGGAAAAUCUUAUCAGAGGGCCCGCGGAAGCAAAAGAACCCCAAAAGAGGCACGUGCAGGGCUCGGAUUGCACAAACAGGUAGGAAGGGUGGCUGGUCGGCGUCAGGCGAGCCUGGAGGAGGAAGCGCGUCGCCGGAAAGUGGCUCACGUGCCCUCACGCGCCGGCGCGUGAGAUGCAGUCGCCGGCCGGAAAAACGCGCGUGGGCGGCGCGUGGAUGGGUUUCUGGUUCCGGUGCUUUGGGACAAAUUGGAGAUCUCCUCCAGGCGCUCCUUGCGGUGUAGAAAAAAAACCGUCGCCGGAAAGUUCGCCGGAAAAUUUUGCCGACGGUGAGUGUUUUCUGACGACGAUUCGACUGAUCGGAAAGCUUUUUCUCCCUUGGCUCUGAGAACAGGGACUGAUGACCGGAAUGAGAGAGAGAGAGAGAGAGAGAGAGAGAGAGAGAGAGAGAGAGAGAGAGAGAGAGAGAGAGAUGAUCGGAUUGAGAUAUGGCCAGAGAGAUUUGGCCGGAAUGAGUGAUGGCCUGAAUAAGAGGUGGCCAGAAGGGAUUAGGGUUUCAGAAAACUGGCUCUGAUACCAUGAAGAAUUUCUGAACUCCUUUAUUGAUAUUUUAUCGGUACACACCAUACACAUAUAUAUACACAAAUGACUGAAUAAGAAAGAAUCAAUCUAGCUUAAUUCUCUCCUAAAAUUAGGAAACUAAAUCAUAAGGAAAUAUCCUAAAUGAUCUCUCCUUUUUUAUUCCUAAAUUAAAGUCCUAACUUUGACAUUAUUUCAACACAUUGGAAUGCCUUCAAACACUCUCUUGUUAUGGUUGUUCGAAGAUGAAGAGUUUUCCGGAAAUCAAGGGUAAUAUGGGAAGUCUAAGAGAACUUGAUUUAAGUGAAACAGAUAUAAUAGAAGUACCAUCAUCAAUCAGGCAUCUACAUGGGCUUAAAACCUUGAAGUUAAGUGAUUGCUUAAACCUUGUGAGUCUUCAGGUCGGUAUUUGUAGUUUGAGCUCUCUUCAAACUCUUUUGAUGGAUGGGAGUUUAGAACUAAAGGCCUUUCUAGAUAUCAAUAUUGGAAGUCUAAAAGCCCUUGAAUGGUUAGAUUUGUCAUAUUGCGAAAACCUUGAGAGUCUUCCGGAUAGUAUUUGUAGUUUGACCUCUCUUCAAACUCUUUUGCUGAAUGGGUGUUCAAAACUGAAAGCCUUUCCAUACAUCAAUAUUGGAAGCCUCAAAGCUCUUGAAUUGUUAGCUUUGUCAUAUUGCGAAAACCUUGAGAGUCUUCCGGACAGUAUUUGUAAUUUGACAUCUCUUCAAACUCUCAUGUUAAAAGAGUGUUCAAAAUUGAAGGGCUUUCCAGAUAUCAAUAUUGGAAGUCUAAAAGCUCUUAAAUUGUUAGAUUUGUCAUAUUGCGAAAACCUGACAGUAUUUGUAGUUUGACCUCUCUUCAAACUCUUUUGCUGAAUGGGUGUUCAAAAUUGAAGGCUUUUCCGGAUAUUAAUAUUGCAAAUCUAAAAGCUCUUGAAUUGUUAGAUUUUUCAUAUUGUGAAAACUUUGGGAGUCUUCCAGAUAGGAUUUGUAGCUUAACCUCUCUUCAAACUCUUUUGUUGAAAAAGUGUUCAAAAUUGAAGGCCUUUCCAGAUAUCAAUAUUGGAAGUCUAAAAGCUCUUAAAUUGUUAGAUUUGUCAUAUUGCGAAAACCUUAAGAGUCUUCCAGACAGUAUUUGUAGUUUGACCUCUCUUCAAACUCUUUUUUUGAAUGGGUGUUCAAAAUUGAAGGCCUUUCCAGAUAUCAAUAUUGGAAGUCUAAAAGCUCUUGAAUUGUUAGAUUUGUCAUAUUGCAAAAACCUUGAGAGUCUUCCGCAUAGUAUUUGUAGUUUGACCUCUCUCCAAACACUUUUGUUGAAUGGGUGUUCAAAACUGAAGGCCUUUCCAGAUAUCAAUAUUGGAAGUCUAAAAGCUCUUAAAUUGUUAGAUUUGUCUUAUUGCAUAUACCUUGAGAGUCUUCCGCACAGUAUUUGUAGUUUGACCUCUCUUCAAACUCUUUUGUUGAAUGGGUGUUCAAAAUUGAAGGCCUUUCCAUGUAUCAAUAUUGGAAGUCUAAAAGCUCUUAAAUUGUUAAAUUUGUCAUAUUGCGAAAACCUUGAGAGUCUUCCGGAUAGUAUUUGUAAUUUGACCUCUCUUCAAACUCUUUUGCUGAAUGGGUGUUCAAAACUGAAGGCCUUUCCAGAUAUCAAUAUUGGAUGUCUAAAAGCCCUUGAAUUGUUAGACUUCUCAUAUUGCAAAAACCUUGAGAGUCUUCCGCACAGUAUUUGUAGUUUGACCUCUCUUCAAACUCUUUUGCUGAAUGGGUGUUCAAAACUAAAGGCUUUUCCAGAUAUCAAUGUUGGAAGUCUAAAAGUUCUAGAAUUGUUAGAUUUGUCAUAUUGCGAAAGCCUUGAGAGUUUUCCGGACAGUAUUUGUAGUUUGACCUCUCUUCAAACUCUUUGGCUGAAUGGGUGUUCAAAACUGAAGGUCUUUCCAGAUGUCAAUAUUGGAAGUCUAAAAGCUCUUGAAUUGUUAGAUUUGUCAUGUUGUAAAAAGCUUGAGAGUCUUCCGAUGAGCAUUUGCAAUUUGAGCUCUCUCAAAACUCUGCGGAUUAAAGAUUGUCCAAAACUCAAGGGAAUAUUAAAGAUGAACCUAGGGGUUGAUUUAUGCUCCUCGAGAUCUUUGAAUCUGACUUGUCACAUUUCAAAUUCAGGAGUAAUCUGGGAUAAUGACUGCUUUUCCUCAUUAAAAGCAUUAAAUCCAUGGUGCCCCCUGUCAUCACUGGUAGAAUUAUCUGUAAGAAACUCUAAUCUCAUGGAACGAGACAUCCUCAGUGCUAGUUUUCGCUUAUCCUCAAUGCAAAUAUUAUCUCUAAGGAACUUCCCUUUGAUGGUAGGAGGAAUCCUUGAUGACAUUUUCCAUCUAUCUUCAUUGGUAGAAUUAUCUCUUAGUGAAUGCAAUCUGAUGGAAGUAGGAACCCUCCAUUAUGUUUGGAACCUAUCUUCACUGCUAAGAUUAUAUCUAAGAAACUGUAAUCUAAUGGAAGGAGAGAUCCCCAAUCAUAUUUGGCACCUAUCAUCAUUGUGUAGACCCUCAAUUUUGUCCCUUUAGCACAUGUCUUUAAAAUUCGUUUUCAAUGCUCCACAAUAGUUCCUUGGUGGCCCAUGGCUACUCAUACCACUUACCUUUUUCUGAGUCACCUCGGAGAUUUUGGUUGAGGGAUUAUUUGAUCCCUUAUUGUGACCCUUGGCAGCCCUAACUUAGACUUAGGCUUUUCUUGUUUUUUUAGGAUAGCUUUUAGAUACACUUGGCCCAUUAGGCACUACCCUAGGCCCACUUAGUCUCACCUUAGGCCCGUUUAGGCACACUAGGCCUACGAAGACUUUUAUUUUAUUUUAUUUUAUUUUAUUUAUUUAUUUAUUUAUUUUGUUUUUAGUUUUAAUUUUAUGAUUAUCAUUCACUUUUUAUUGGUUAUCUUCCUCUUUAUAUCAUUUUCCUUAACUUAUUUAUUUAUUUAUUAUUUUUACCAUUUUUUAAUUUAUUUACUUAUUUAUCUAUUCAUGCAAUUAUUUAACUUCAAAAAUUUCAUGUUUUUGCAAGGAAACUUACCAUUGGAGUUUAAGGAAGGCGGGACUCUCCUUGGAAGGUUUUGGAGGGGAAUUUGAAAUUGGGAAGAUUGCUUUUGAUUGGAGGAUUUAAAAAAAGAAGAGAAGAAGAAAGGAAAGAGGAGAAUUUUCCUUUUUGGAAACAAAUUUAGGUCUUGAGGGGUGAUAUAUAUAGGUGAGAAAAGGAAAAGAAUAGGGGGAUUUUUCUAGGGGGGCAGGGCACACGGAAUUUUGAAAAAAAAGCAAGGGACUUCGAACGGAGAUCGGGCUGUCAUUUAAUCAUCAAGAGAGGAUUUUCUCUCACUUCAAAGGUUAGUUUUCUAUAUAGUACUUUUAUUUAGCCUAGAUUUUUUUUUUUUUUUUUUUUUUGGAAAUUUUAGUUUUUGAUUAAUUCUUUGUGUUAAAGUUUAUAUUAUUUUCUUUUUAAAUCCCCAAUUAGUUUAAUUCUAAUCUAUCUUUUAGUUUAAGUUUGUUAAUGAUUUUAAUUCUUAAGUUUAAAUAAUCCUAUCGAAUAAAGUUUGUAUUUUUAAUCCCAAUUAGUUUGAUUUUAAUUUGUUUUUUAGUUUAAAUGUAUUUUGUUGAUCUUAAUUCUUGACUUUAAAUAAUCAUGUUAAAUAAAGUUUGUGUUUUUAAUCUCAAUUAGUUUGAUUUCAAUUCGUUUUUAGUUUAAAUACAUUUUGCUGAUCUUAAUUCUUUAGUUUAAAUAAUCAUAUCGAAUAAAGUUUGUAUUUUUAAUCCCAAUUAGUUUGAUUUUAAUUUGUUUUUUAGUUUAAAUGUAUUUUGUUGAUCUUAAUUCUUUACUUUAAAUAAUCACGUUAAAUAAAGUUUAUGUUUUUAAUCUCAAUUAGUUUGAUUUCAAUUCGUUUUUAGUUUAAAUACAUUUUAUUGAUCUUAAUUCUUAAGUUUAAAUAAUCAUAUCGAAUAAAGUUUGUAUUUUUAAUCCCAAUUAGUUUGAUUUUAACUUGUUUUUUAGUUUAAAUGUAUUUUGUUGAUUUUAAUUCUUANNNNNNNNNNNNNNNNNNNNNNNNNNNNNNNNNNNNNNNNNNNNNNNNNNNNNNNNNNNNNNNNNNNNNNNNNNNNNNNNNNNNNNNNNNNNNNNNNNNNNNNNNNNNNNNNNNNNNNNNNNNNNNNNNNNNNNNNNNNNNNNNNNNNNNNNNNNNNNNNNNNNNNNNNNNNNNNNNNNNNNNNNNNNNNNNNNNNNNNNNNNNNNNNNNNNNNNNNNNNNNNNNNNNNNNNNNNNNNNNNNNNNNNNNNNNNNNNNNNNNNNNNNNNNNNNNNNNNNNNNNNNNNNNNNNNNNNNNNNNNNNNNNNNNNNNNNNNNNNNNNNNNNNNNNNNNNNNNNNNNNNNNNNNNNNNNNNNNNNNNNNNNNNNNNNNNNNNNNNNNNNNNNNNNNNNNNNNNNNNNNNNNNNNNNNNNNNNNNNNNNNNNNNNNNNNNNNNNNNNNNNNNNNNNNNNNNNNNNNNNNNNNNNNNNNNNNNNNNNNNNNNNNNNNNNNNNNNNNNNNNNNNNNNNNNNNNNNNNNNNNNNNNNNNNNNNNNNNNNNNNNNNNNNNNNNNNNNNNNNNNNNNNNNNNNNNNNNNNNNNNNNNNNNNNNNNNNNNNNNNNNNNNNNNNNNNNNNNNNNNNNNNNNNNNNUGAUGGAUAUUUCAUUAGCUUAUUUGAUCUAAAUAUUAAUAAUUUAUUGCUUUGAUAGUUUCCUUUUUGUUCAAAGGCCAUUGGAAAAUCAUGAAGAUUGGCCUCUACCAUCACCAUUAUCAUUUUUGUUAAUUACUAAAAAAAUUUUACUUUGAGGUUUCAUUUUUGUUUUGUUGGGUAUUUUAUUUCUUAUAUUUUAUUUUUUCCAAAUUAAUUCCUUUUAUUUUAAAAUAAAAUACUUUUCUCAAAAAAAUCAUUUUAAAAAUCUAUUUCAAAAACUCAUUUAGAGUCCUCAGGAUCAAAAUCUUUUUUUUUAUUAUUUAAAAAUAAUAUGCAACCAUAUCUUGUUCGGUUUGCAUCCUUCUCGGUUUUCAACAAAAAUUUUGGUUUUGAACAAAAACACGAAUCAAAGCUUGUGGUCCCAAAUAAUGGGAUAAUUCUGGGCUAAAUUUGUGUAUAUUAAUUUGGGGAAUUGGUGAAACCCCUACAUAAGAAAAUCUUUUCAAAAAUUAUUUUUGUUGCCAUCUUUGUCACUUGUUGAAAUUAUGUCUAUUUUUUUUAAGAAUUGUAUACAUGAUGAGUGUGAUAAUUAAUGUUUUCAUAUGCUUUGAUAAUUUUUGUUAUGCUAAUUAGAUAACAAGCAUGCUAGGGUUUCUUUAUUUUAUUAUUAUCUAAUCCCUCAUGUCUUAUGGAAGCGCAUUGUAAGUUAUCUAUGCUAUCCAGGUAUGCCCCCUAAUGACCUACUUUCUAAAUUUCGUAAACAAUCAUGUCACUGUGAAGUAUGCAUAUGUUUGAUAAUCCUUAGGUGUUUAGAUGUAUGCUUGAUUCACUAUGAUUAAAUACAUGUUGUGUGUUAUACUUCUAUAUUAACUCUGAUGUUUUAUGAUAGCGCUUGAAGAGCGGUUCAGGUACGCACCCUAACUCUCAGUUUUUGUGAUUUGAUCUUGUUUAGCAUGCAAAUCUUUUGAAAUCACCUAGUCUACCUAGGUCCAUAAUUAACCGAUUAAUUGCCAUAUUCCCCUUAACUUAAUUAGUAGAGACCUUUUUAGGGCUUAGAAGGGUGCUACCUCUUAGAGGUACCUUCCCAAUAAGUAACCUGAUCCCCGGACCAAGACUUGGGUUUUCAAAGACACGCUUUUCCAAAAAUUAUGGAGUCAUUUUUUUUAGGGUUUUAUUUCUUGUUUUAUUUUCCCUUCAAAAAUAAAAAUAAAAUAAGUGGCGACUCCAACUUUUUUUUUUCAAAAAUCAAUUUUUCACAAAAUAAUAAAAAGCGAGUCUCACCGAUCGAGUGGGGGCGCACGUGAAAAAUGCGGGUCCACAAAUUGGCGACUUCGCUGGGGAUUUUGAGGAUCAAGCUUGAACACUAGUUAGGAAAAUGUGGCGUUUAAUUGGUCGAUUAGUGGGUACCUCUUUUUUUAGGCAAGGUGAUUCGAUUUGCUUGCUUGUUUGGUUUGCUAUCUUAACAUGUUUGAUUGCCUUGGAUGAUCACUUAACUGUUUGCUCACUUUAGCAUGAUUCACUCUCACAUAUGUUAGAUAGGACUUUGUUUGUUUGAUAUUUAUCUGCUCAGCAUGACUGUUUGUUGUGUUUGCCUUGGAUGAUCACUUGAUUGUUUUGCUCACUUUAGCAUGAUUCACUCUCACAUAUGCUAGAUAGGACUUUGAUUGUUUGAUAUUUAUCUGCUUCACAUGACUGCUUGUUGCAUGACAACCCUUGCUCUUGCAUGUUCGUAUGAUUGCUUGUCUUCAUUCACUAUCUCACUUUAGACCUUAGGUUUUUCGGAUGCACCCACAUCCUUCAUUGUGCACUUUAGAUUAUCCUUGAGUGUUGAGAGAUGGGAGAGCCUUCACCAUUAAGAAACCCCCUGGGAACGCGAGGAAGUGCAUGUGUGGAGGUGAUGACCACCUUGCAUGGAAGCACCCCGUCUUCUUGGAGGCGUGCAGAGGGUUGCGUACCGCCGGAGGGUACGAUCGCUUCUGCUAGGGAUCCUUUGACCCGCUCAUUUUAUCUUAUAGAGCCACCUUAACCUUGUAGGUUAGCCUAGACCCAAUUAAGAUUUCAUUCCUACACGUGGGUGCAUCUGUGGACCUUCAGAGCUGCCUUGGUCACAAUUGGAAUUGGUUAUCCCUUCCUUAGUCUCCUUUUGGUGUAAUCAGAAGAGGGUAUCAGAUUGAGUAUAUUUGGGCUUUGCUUCUACGCCUUUGAUUCAUACAGAGUCACCUUCGAGUUACACCUUAUUCAGUGUUUCCAUAUUUGUAGGAGGGUUUACCGUGACCGAUCUGGAUUCACCUUUGUGGAUUAGAGUUGGAGGUAGAUUGAGCAGAGUAUCAGACCAGUCAGAUCAGAGAUCAGAUCAGAGGGAUAUGGACUCACAGGUAGUUACCGUUGACCAGUUUGCCGCAGCCAUGGCUUCUAUCCAGGAGGCUAUAGCUAACCUUGGUCAGAGGAUAGAUGGACAGCAGACCCAGCAGGUCCCAGUUCAGGAGAGUACCCAGUUCGAUACCAUAGUACCGCCACCACCUCUGCCUAGUCAGUCAGUACCACAGGUUAUACCUUUCACUCUGCAUAGUCAGAUCGAGGUUGCCCCGCCUCCUAUCACAUCGCCUAUCCCGGCUUCAGAGGACCCACAUGCUCGUAUGGAUAAACUUGAGCAGAAGUUGAGACAGAUGAGGACUUCAGAGGGAGCUAUUACUUGGGAGGAUUUUGAUGGAGCACCAGUGGCCAGUCUACCGGCCAAAUUUAGGAUGCCUGAGAUUGAGAGAUACACAGGCAUAGGAUGCCCUCGCAUCCAUUUGAGACUUUAUAGUACUGUUAUGAGGGCCCAUGGACUGGAUGAUGCCCAGAUGGUUAUGCUCUUUCCUAUGUCAUUGAGUGGUGCUGCACAGCGUUGGUUCGCUUCAUUGGAGGUAUCACGCCGUAGGACUUGGGAUGACUUAGCCCAGGAGUUUUUGAGACAGUUUGCAUUUAACACUGUCAUUGAUGUUUCGAGGAGAGAGUUGGAGGCUUUGAGACAGAGGCCGGAGGAGUCAGUCACUUCAUUUAUCUCCCGCUGGAGGGAGAAGAUUUCACAGAUUAUAGACCGUCCUUCAGAUAGAGAUCAUAUUAGCAUGAUCAUGAGGAGCUUGCAGCCUAGAUUUGCUAGACACUUGAUGGGAUUUCCCCAUACGGAUUUUGGAUCUUUGGUACAGGCUUUGUACGGUAUAGAGGAGGGCAUUGCUAGAGGAUUAUGGUCUGAGUCUUCCCCUACUGAUUCUAAGGGGAAGAGGCCUUCAGGAGGACAGAGAUCAGGAGAUGUUGGUGCUAUCAGUUUAGCAGGGAUGAGACCUUCUAGACACUAUCAGACAGUUGGGCAGACUCCUGGGUACUACUAUCCACCUUCACCUCAUGCGCAUUACAGACCACCCGCUCCUUCCAGACCCAUGACUCCUACCUAUCUACAUCCAGUCUCACAACCUAUUUUCGCUGCACACGUCGUAGAGAGGCCUCCUGCCCCAUAUAUUCGACCCCGAGCUCCACAGACCACUACUUAUGUGCAGAGGCCACCACGUCAGUUUGCUCAGUUGGGUAUGCCUUUGAGUCGAGCUUUUCAGAAGCUCACAGAGGGUGGAUUACUGAUUCCAUUAGCAUCCAGGCCUUUACCCCAACCCAUACCACCUCGCUUCAGGAUGGACUUACAUUGUUCCUACCAUCAGGGACCAGGGCAUGACACGGACCAUUGCACUGCUUUGAGACAUGCUAUUCAGGACUUGAUAGACCAGGGUUUGGUCAACUUGGGGCAGCCAAGUGUGACUACGAACCCUCUUCCUGCUCAUUCUACACACGCAGUGCAUCCAUCUUUAGGAGAUAUUCGUCACAUGGACCUUAUAGAGGAUGACAGUAUACACAUGUUGAGUUGGGAUGAUGGAUUACUUGAGCCGAUUGUUCUGCAUGACAGCUAUGAGAUUGAUGGGGUUUCAUUGGUCCCUCAGGCUCCUGCACCAUUCAGUUUGAUCCCGGACGAGGCACUAUUCCAAUUGACUCAUCCUACACCCUUAGUUAUCGGAUGUCAGGAUACUUUUGUCCCAUUCACUUUAUGGCCAGAGGAUGAUGAUUCAGCAGGAAGAGAGAUACAGAUUGUGACUCGCAGUGGGAGGAUAGCUCAGCCACCACCACCAGCAGUUAGACCAUUUGAGGGUACAACCUCUCAUGAGGAGGUUAGGAGAGAGGAUGAUGAGGUUUUGAGGCAGCUACAGAGCACUCAGGCUCGCAUUUCCAUCUGGAGUUUAUUAGCAUCAUCCAGUACUCAUAGAGAUGCUUUGAUUCGAGCCUUGAGUCAGAUCAGAGUAGAGACUACCACCACUCCAGAGGGAUUGAUUCAUAUGAUGACGGCUGGCAGGGCCACUUGCAUUGUAUUUUCAGAUGAUGACUUGCCACCUGAUGGUUUAGACCACAUGCGCCCUCUAUAUAUCACAGUUGGAUGUUUAGGCCGUAGAGUCUCGUCAGUCCUACUGGACAACGGCUCAGCCCUGAAUGUUUGCCCUUUAGCCACUGCUAUAGCCCUUGGUUUCGCACCUUCAGAUUUUGGUCCUUCUACUCAGACAGUCAGAGCGUAUGAUAGCACCAAGAGGGAGGUUAUGGGUACCUUGAUGAUCGAUUUGCAGAUUGGUCCAGCCACAUUUUCCACUUUGUUCCAGGUUUUGAGGAUUCCUGCAUCCUUUAGCCUGCUACUAGGCCGACCAUGGAUUCAUGUAGCUGGAGCUAUUCCUUCUUCCCUUCAUCAGAAGGUGAAGUUUAUUCAUGAUGGGCAGGUCAUCACAGUGCGUUCUACCAGGGAUAUAUUUGCGUCUUCUGAGCCAGUACUUCAGAUCAGUCACAGUGAGGACGACCUACUUCUGACUGGGUUUACUUUUGAUGAGAUACAGACUCUCGAGAUUGAGGAUUUUUGUAGAGACUUUGUGGCUAUGUCAUUUGAUCAGCACAGUAGCACAGUGGUCCUUGAUAUGAUGAGGGGUAUGACCUUUCUACCUGGCAUGGGGUUAGGAUGACGUCAACAGGGACCGAGCGAGUUCAUAGCUGCCAUUGACCAUGAUACGACAUUUGGACUUGGAUUCAUCCCUAUUGAGGCCGAUUACCGUCACAUGGCGCGGCUGCGCAAGGAGAAGGUGAGAGCCCGUUUAUCCCACACACCAUUUGAUUAUCCUAUUCGACCCUAUAGGAUGAGUUUGGCUGACUACUUUGUCAGAGGAUCAGAGACUCGACCUCGUCUAGAGGAGAUUGAUAGUGUGGUUCAUACAGAUAGAGAGACCGAGCUUCAUGACUCAUGCCCAAUUGGUGUCUCAGCUGAUUUGUAUUCAGCUGGUGCUCCUUGAUUGAGGAAGUGAUCAACAAAAUUUAUACCUAUAACACCAUACACUAGGGUAGCAAAUACAAAGCUACUAUAGUAUAGUGGCUCUAAGGAUCGUUCACUGGGAAUGAUUUGCAAGCAAUCAAGGAUACCAAUUCCAAGUGAAUUGGUCUUGUUUCAUUUCACGGUUAGCUUAAGAAGUAAAACACAAAGUUUGAUUGGUAAAGGUUUAGACUUAAACUAACUAACUUAACAGAAGUUUGGAAUAAUUUAGGAAGAAAAGCAUUCCUUGGAGAUUUAGGUUCACUGGGGUGGUUCCUCAUGCAAAAGACAUAGCUCCGGUCAGAUGGUUCAUUUCCUCGCAUUAGAGAUUCAACUUAGAGUCAAUUCUCUAACCGGUGAUGUACAGAGACUCCUUCAAUUAGAUUUCACUUUAAUUCUCUCACUGAUGCAACUUGCAAUGGUUCAUGCCUCUCACGAGCACUUACCAUUCAAGGUGAUCUUUAACCUUGGAUUCCCUUCACAAACUCGCAAGAGAUAACUAAUGGAUGUCUCCUAAGAGUCCAAAAGCUUACCAAGUGUUGGUAAUUCCAGAAAAUCCUACCUUGAAGUCACCUACCAAAGGCUCGCAAGGGGUAAACUAGUGCAUUUCCACGGUUGGAAAUCACUUGCCUUACCAAGUGUUGGCCCAGGUGACUCCAAAGUGUUUUAAGUUAACUAAAAACAUUGAAAUCACUAAAGGAUUUCACUUCCUCUUCAUUUCUAGCUAAAACCACAGAGCUUUGCAUUUUUGCACUUGGAACCUUCCCCGGCAACCUUAGCUCCAAGGAAUUGGAGGUUUAGUUACUCAUUCUCUGGGGAAAACUCCUCAGAGAAUUCAUAACUUAGAAAUAAAAUGAAAAUACAAAGUGAGAAGGUGAGGCAAUAGAAGGAAAAGACUUUACUUGCUUACCAAAAUGGUUACAGAAGGAACUCCUCUCUGAGAACAGGCUCCCGAGAGGUAUAUAUAUCAAAGCAAUAUAAAACUAAUUGUUACACUGAUAUUUGGUCUUUUUACUAACUUUAAAACUAAGGAAUCAUGUAAUUGGUGGUUUACAAGGAGUAUUUUGGGAUUUAGACAACAAAAAUCUAAUGGAAAAUAUCUCCCAAUGUCGGUAGCAAGCUUCGGGAGGCUUCAGGAGCCAUUUCGCAGGAGAAAAGUGGUGCCUGCGAAAUUUCGCAGACACCCAAUAGGGCUGCGAAAUUAUUUCGCAAGACCGAGCUAUCUUCACCAGGCUGCAAAGUUGGCUUCCAUCUUGAAGUUUCCAGCUUCCCUCUCGCGGCAUGGUUCGUGCAUCGUCAGAAGAAGAAACACCUUACUGUACAAAAGUGUUGCAAAAUUCUCGCAACAAAAGGCUGAUUCCGCAGCACUUUAGAGUGACUGGCUUGUAAUGGCUGCAACUUCUUCGUUUCAACUCCAAAUUGCACACCGUUUGAAGCAUUGGAUUGUUGACUUCCUGAGCUUUGAAAUGGUAUAUAGCAUGCAUCAUUUGGACUUCAGAAAGUGCUCCAAAAGUGGCUGCUACGACUGUCAUCAAGAAUAAGCUUCAUGACUGAUCCUCUUUGCUUUUUCUCCUUGCAAUCCGGAUUCACUCUUGGCAAUUGAAUUCUAAGCUUUGCCCAAGAUUCCUCAUAGCUCUCCUCAUUCUUGACUUGCUUUGGUGAUCAAAAUACUAACAAAAACACCAAAACUUACACAAAGUGAUCAAAAUUGCUUUAAAGGAUCCUUAACAUGCCAAUUGAGUUAAAAGGCCUAAACUACUACUCAAAAGUGGUAAAAAGGAUUAAUUAAAGGCUAUCAAAUAGCACUUUUUGAGUAGUAAUCACUCCCCCCAACCGACAUAUUGCUAGUCCCUUAGCAAUAUAGGAGAGAAAAAUGAAAAUAAAUAGCUAAUUAUACUAAAAUUUACAACAUCAUGCUAAAGGAAAAUAAUUCUCAAGUGGCAUGAUGAUCUAAUUCUCACAUGAAUCAUUAAAGAAAUACAAACCCAAAUCUCAACAAGAGUCAUAACAAACUAUGUUAAGCACUGUCAAUCAAGGGAGUGCAUUAUGCAAACUGAAGUUUUAAAAUCAUUUCAACUUUCAAAGAACUAAACUUCAAUCUUCCACAAAAAUCUAUGUGUAUUGGUUCCUUAGGUUCCGAGAAUAAUAUGCUACUAAUCUCACCCCCCAACCUAUCUCUUUUCAACACUUUAGCAAACUGACCAAAAUCAAUAAGAAAAGAACACACUUUCAUCUUUUUUUUUUUUUUUUUUUUUUUUUUUCAAGGUAGCUUUAUGGGGUACUCUUUCUGACUUGUCCAUGUAAUGGGGGUCCAUCGAUGACUCCCAACCAAUUAAGGUUUAGGGCACCAAGUUUUAAGGAUCUUUCAACCACUAACUCCUCGGAUUUUUCCCCGGACUUUUAAGAAUGAGAUUCUAAUACCCAAGCAUCUACCAUAUGCUAACUCUACCUAUUCACCCUUGUAACGAGCAUUGAGGUCGGUGACUCCCAACCAAUUAAGGCUUAGGGCACCAGGCUUUAAAGGCUUUCACCAUAUGCCCCUCAGACCUUGCUCGGGUUUCAAGGCAAGCAAACAAAUUUCUUUAUUUCAAAGGCUCAUUGGCCUUUUGCAGAGUGUUUCAAUUUUUAUUAAAUGAGGUCAAAUAUACCAAGUCUCAAAAUUAUCCUAAGUCAAGAGGGAAAUAGCUUUUCAUCUUAUAAUCGGAAACUAAUGUGCACAGUGUGUGGAUAGCUUAAAGUGGAAGAACUUAAUUCAAUUUCAGUAGAAGUUUCAACAAUUGAACCACUUUAGUAAGCAUAAUCCAUACUCUAAGUCAAGUGAAAAACAACAGUUCAAUUUCUCUUGGUUUAAUUUGAAAAUUUUUCCUCAAAAUUCAUGGAGAAUAGAGUAACACUAAUAAAAAGUAAAAACUACAACUAAUUAACCAAUAUAAUUAAAAUACCAAAAAGGUUUAGAAUACUUCCUUCCUCAUACCCCCCAACCGAAUUGAGCAUUGUCCUCAAUGUGAUUUGAGUGACUGUAAUAAAAGGGAGGAAGUUGUAUCUCCAUGCUGAUAUCAAAUUCGAAUAUUGAUUGGGGAAAACCACAUGUUUCAAAAAGAAUAGAAUAUGUGAGAAAAGGAAAUAAUAAUAACUUAAUGCUAACUUUUAACAAGAAAUAGUCAACUUGUAUUACUUUGAGUUCAUUUAAUUACAAUGCUAAAAACAAGUAACACAAGGAAUCCCAUAUAUAGUACCAAAAUACUGGGAUUUCAUUUCAACUAAAACAAAACAAACAUGCAUAAAAACAUAAACAGAAAAUAUAUAUAAUGUCUGAUGAGUGGGGUGAUGGUGCUAAGCAGAAGGAUCUGCCUUCUCAGUAGGUGGAUCAGCUGGUGCUUCUGGCUCUGGAGCUUGAGACUCUGAAGGCUGAGAGUGUGGCUCUGGUGGAGUCUCAGUGGAGGGCUCUACAGCUUGUGGCAGGUCGAAAUGGACUUGAAGCUGCCUUAGGAUGGCAGCUUGUUGAGCCUGAGAGGCUAACAUCUGCUCCUGGCAUGCUUUGAUGGCUGCCAACUCCUGAGCAAGAUUGCUCUGGGUAGCUGUAAGAGUCUCCAAUGCACGACACAGCUCUCGAUAUUCGGAUAUAGGGAUGGCCAUCCUCGGCUCAGCUGAUGUGGAUGGCUGUGAUGGAGCAGGUGCAGGUGCAGGUGCAGCUGGUGGAGCUCGAGGGAUGGCAGGAGUAGCAAGUGUGAUAUCCUCUGGUCUGUGCCUUGGGGAGGCUCUCCUUGCUGCUAGCUGAGGCUGCCCAGGCUGAUCAAUUUUGUAGGCCGUCAUAUUAUUCCAUUUAUCAAGGGUAAAUGGCUCACGGCAAAUUCUCUUUCUUUCCUGCUGAGGCUCAGAGGGGUAUCCGAGAUGCUCCAAAACUUGGCAUAGCAGCCUUGGGAAGAGGAGUGGAAUGCAAUCUGCUCUUUGAAGCUUCUUCUUGUAAACCUUCUCCUCAAAGUAGAGAAGGGCUGCCAUGAUCAGAUGAUGAGGCCCAAAGAAGAAUCCUUCUGGCAUUUUGUACAGGGCUUCCAGGAGAAUUCCCCUUCUUUGGGUCCAAUGCUGUAGGGGAUAGAUAUUAUGCCUCAAAAAGGCAUCAAUCAAAAACAUCACUGGAGGUAGCUCCCCCCUCAACAGGUGUGACCGAUUUGCAGCUCCUCUAGACAAGGUGCUAACCAUCUCUAGCUCAGCUGGAUUUACCCAAGCCUUAAAAUUGUCAAAUUGGGUUGGCUCAAAAGGAAUUUGCAGAGCUUCAGCAAUAUGUCUUGCUCCCAAAAUACCAUGUCUACCAUCAAUAAUAAAAUGAAUCAAGGUUGGAUUUCUUACUUCUUUGGUUGUCAUGGUCUGGUAGAAAUCAGUGACUACCCGGGGAUAGAAAAAAUCCCUUGGAGCUAGCAGAUGCUCCAUAUGAUACUUCCUCAGCAGCUGGAAGGAUUGGGCAAGCUCUGGCCUCACUCUAAAUGUUGCUAAAUCGAAGCACAAUUCAGAAUGGAAUGCCCGAGUUCGACAAUCCAAGUUUCCUUCGAUUGGGGGCUGGGGCAGCAUUGGCCUUCGGAUCACUUCUUCCAGAGGUGCUUCAGCUGCAAUUUGGGGCUCUGGAAUUGGCGCUUGAGACUCCUGAGCUUUUUCUUGGGGUGCCGGAGAUGGUACCGGCGAUGGAAUUGGAGUUGCUUCUGGUGAGGGAACCGGUGACGGCAUUGGAAUUUGUACCGGUGAAGGAUUUGGUGAAGAUACCGGAGAUUGAACCGGUGUUGGCUUUGGGGAUUUCUCAGGGGAUUGCUCAGUCAAAUUGAUUGGUUCAGAGCUCUCAACCCUGGCUUUCUUCUUCAACGGUCGACCGCCUGACCUGGUUAAAUAUCGCCUUGCCGGCGGCUUUGGUGGCGCCGGCUUCACUGGAGAAGGUUGUGGUCUCGACGGCGAAGGCUUUGGAGCAGGUUCUGGAACAGAGCCUGGACUUGGCUCCUUUCGCAGACUCCUUUUACGGUUCGAAGGGGAUGAAGACUUUGCCCCUCGCGUUCGUGCCAUUUUGGGCUAUCGAUCUUUGGCCGGCGCUGCUAAACGGAGAAGAUGACCGGAGAAGCGAACGGCGUGGCUUGGCGAAGAAGAUGAAGGGGCCGCGAGAAUGGUGCUCUGAUUUUUGAAACCCUUUUCGCAACACUUUUGACCGGUAUAAAUAGGAAAAACGGAAGCCCAGGGGUCAGUUUAAGUUUCGCAACAAAACGCCAAUUUCGCAGCAACUUGCCAUUUUCGCAGCAACUUCGCAGUGAGUUUCGCAGCUGCGAAAUCGAUGUCACUGUGCUGCGAAGUGGCACUCGUGUGCCAAAACCACUUUCGCAAUUGCGAAAUGCCCUGCGGAAUGGGACUUUUGGUGCGAAAUCACGCUUUUCCAUUUCGCAAUGAGUUUCGCAGCUGCGAAAUGGAUGCUACUGUUCUGCGAAGUGGCACUCGUGUGCCAAAACCACUUUCGCAAUUGCGAAAUACACUCGCAGGGACUUCUACAGUGCUGCGGAAUGGUUUGGCAACAAAAAUCACAUUUCGCAGAAGUUUCCUUCACUCUGCGAAAUUUCGCAGAGCUCUGUUUUUCCCCUGUUUUUGCUCUGUUUCUGUUUUGUUUCGGCUCCAAUUUCGACCCGAUUUUUUUCUUUUCAAUUUCCUUGAAAUUUCUUCCACCUGGGAUCAUAUAAAACGAUUAAAACACACCUAAAAACAUGAUUUAAGAUAAAAAAACUAAGAUCAAAAGUAUGGAAACAACUUGAAAAUUUACAAAAUUUACAAAAAAUUUGGACUGUGGUAAAACCACGUCCAGCAAACCCAUUUCACUUAGGCUUUUUGAGGUUCAAGGAGGUUGAUUGCCUCCUUUUCUGAUUUGAACGACUCCAUGAAUGGCUUAAGAUGAUAUCCAUUGACUCGAAAACUAUCCUUGCCAUUGGAAUUCAAUAAGUCCACCACUCCAUUGGAAUAUACUCGGUGAAUAACAAAUGGACCAAUCCACUUUGACUUGAGCUUCCCAGGAAAGAUAUGGAGUCUUGUGUCAUACAUCAAAACUUUUUGCCCUUCUUGAAAUUCCUUGUUGGAGAUGAGUUGGUCAUGCCACUUCUUCAUCCUCUGUUUUGCAACUUUGGAAUUGAUAUAAGCAUUAUUUCUUAAUUCCUCCAUCUCAUUAAGGUCUAGAAAUCUCUUUUCUCCGGCCUUGAUCAAAUCCAUAUUCAGCUUCUUUAUUGCCCACCAAGCUUUGUAUUCAACUUCCACAGGGAGAUGGCAUGCUUUACCAUAGACAAGACGAUAGGGAGACAUCCCUAGAAUAGUCUUAUAAGCUGUUCUAUAUGCCCACAGUGAAUCAUGAAGCCUAAUAGACCAAUCUUUUCUGUUGGAAUUCACCACUUUCAUCAAAAUGUUCUUUAUUUCUCUGUUAGCUAGCUCAACUUGCCCGGAAGUCUGAGGAUGAUAAGGUGUGGCCACCUUAUGCUUCACUCCAUACUUGGAUAACAGAGCUUCAAAAGGUUUGUUACAAAAAUGAGCACCUCCAUCACUGAUUAUGGCCUUGGGCACCCCAAAUCUUGAGAAAAUGUUCUCUUUAAGAAACUUGAGAACCACCCUAUGAUCAUUUUGCUUACAGGGGAUUGCCUCAACCCAUUUAGAAACAUAAUCUACCCCUACCAAGAUGUAAGAAUUACCAAAAGACAUUGGGAAAGGUCCCAUGAAGUCAAUGCCCCAUACAUCAAAUAUCUCUACUAUCAGAAUGGGGUUCAUAGGCAUUUGAUUUCUUUUUGUUAGCUUUCCAAGCCUUUGGCAUCUAUCACAACUCCUACACAUGAUAUGGGCAUCUUUAAAAAGAGAGGGCCAAGUAAACCCUGACUGUAAUACCUUCAUGGCUGUUUUCUGAGAGGCAAAGUGACCUCCACAUGCAUUCUCAUGACAAUGAGAUAGAAUCCCUUGCUGCUCAUCUUCAGGGACACACUUUCUAAUAAUCUGAUCUGCACAAUACUUAAAGAGAAAGGGCUCUUCCCAAUAAUAAGAAUGAAUUUUGGCGAAGAAGUGCUUCCUGUCCUGUGCAUUCCACUCACUUGGAAUUUCUCCAGUUACUAAAUAAUUAGCAAUAUGAGCAUACCAAGGAGUUUUCACUAGGAACAUGAGUGAUUCUUCAGGAAAAUCAUCAUUGAUAGGCAAGGGAUGGGAAUUAUGUGCUAUAACUAACCUUGACAAGUGGUCAGCUACUACAUUCUCCACUCCUUUCUUAUCUUUGAUUUGAAGAUCGAAUUCUUGUAACAAUAGAAUCCAUCUAAUCAACCUUGCUUUUGCAUCUUGCUUUGUCAAUAAAUACUUCAAGGCUGAAUGGUUAGUAAACACAAUGAUGAAAGACCCCACUAAAUAAGCUCGAAAUUUGUCCAAAGCAAAUACCACAACUAACAAUUCUUUCUCUGUAGUUGUGUAGUUCCUUUGAGCUUCAUUUAGUGUUUUACUUGCAUAGUAAAUCACAUAAGGCUUCCCAUCUUCUCUUUGGCCAAGCACAGCUCCUAUAGCAAAGUCACUGACAUCACACAUCAAUUCAAAAGGUAACUGCCAGUUAGGGGCUCUUACUAUUGGAGUUGUUGUUAAAAAUUUCUUCAGUUGAUCAAAGCUAUGCUGACACCUUUCAUCCCAUAUAAACUUAGCAUCCUUAGCUAACAGCUCACAAAGAGGUUUUGAAAGACUUGAAAAACCUUUUAUAAACCUCCUAUAGAACCCUGCAUGGCCAAGGAACUGCCUUACUCCUUUCACAGUUGUUGGAGAUGGUAAUUUGGCAAUAAGCUCCACCUUUGCUUUAUCAACUUCAAUGCCUCUUUCAGAGAUGAUAUGGCCAAGGACAAUUCCUUGACGUACCAUAAAAUGGCAUUUUUCCCAAUUCAGCACCAAAUCUUUUUCAAUGCAUCUUUGAAGAACUGCUUCCAAAUUAACCAAGCACUCCUCAUAUGUACCUCCAUAUACGGUGAUGUCAUCCAUGAAAACCUCCAUAAUUCUCUCCACCAUAUCACUGAAAAUACUCAACAUACAUCUUUGAAAUGUAGCAGGUGCAUUGCAUAAACCAAAAGGCAUUCUUCUAUAAGCAAAUGUUCCAAAUGGACAUGUAAAAGUGGUUUUUUCCUGAUCUGCCAAAUCAAUUUCAAUCUGAAAAUACCCUGAAUACCCAUCCAAGAAACAAUAGAAUGGAUGUCCAAAGACUCUCUCCAGCACUUGGUCAAUAAAUGGCAAUGGAAAAUGAUCUUUCCUGGUGACAGCAUUCAGCUUUCUAUAAUCAAUACACACCCUCCAACCUGAAGUGAGGCGUGUAGUAAUUUCUUCCCCUUUUUCAUUUUGAACCACUGUGAUCCCUGACUUCUUUGGUACCACUUGAAUAGGACUCACCCAAGGGCUAUCAGAUAUAGGGUAAAUGAUUCCUGCUUGAAGUAGCUUCAGCACCUCAGCUCGCACCACCUCUUGUAGAUGAGGAUUCAACCUUCUUUGAAAUUGACGAAUUGGCUUUGCUUCCUCCUCCAUAUAUAUAUGAUGAGUACAAACUAAAGGACUAAUGCCUUUCAAAUCAGAUAUUUGCCAUCCUAUUGCUUUCUUACACCUCCUGAGAACUUCCAUUAAACCAUCCUCUUGAUGACUGGUCAGAGAUGAAGAUAUUACAACAGGACAUUGAUUAUUUGCUUCAAGGUAUGUAUAUUUCAGCUCCACAGGUAAAGGCUUCAAAUUGAGUUUUGGAAUUUCUUUUUCAACAGCUGCCUCCUCUUCUUCAUUGAACAAAGGUAGAAUUCCUUCUAUCUUUCUCCAACUUUGUAGAGUAGCAAGCCCACUAGGAGAUUCAGAAAAACCUUCCUCAAUAUCCUCAAGACUUUCAUUCAACUUGUCUUGCAUAUGUUGAUUGCAGUGCUCCUCCACCAAAGUAUCAAUUAUACAUAGCUCUUCUGGACCUUCUUCUUCUUCAGGAGUGAUUUGCUUUUUAGACAUAUAGAAAAUAUUGAGAUCCAGGGUCAUAUUACCAAAAGUGAGUUGCAUCAGCCCAUUUCUACAGUUGAUGAUUGCAUUUGAAGUUGCAAGAAAUGGCCUUCCAAGGAUGAUAGGAACUAAAUUAGCUUCCUUUACAGUAGGAUCUGUAUCAAGAACAACAAAAUCUACCGGAUAGUAGAAAUUAUCUACUUGAACUAAUACAUCCUCAAUUACUUCUCUUGGAAUUUUCACUGAUCUAUCUGCCAAAGAUAAAGUGAUUGCUGUUGGCUUUAACUCUCCAAGUCCCAGUUGCUUGUAGACUGAGUAUGGAAGCAAAUUCACACUUGCUCCCAAGUCUAGCAAGGCUUUCUCCACUACCUUUCCUCCAAUCAUGACUGAAAUGGUAGGACUUCCAGGGUCUUUGUACUUCAAAGGGGACUUACACUGUAAGAUUGCACUUACUUGCUCAGUCAAGAAGGCUUUCUUGUUUACAGUCAACCCUCUUUUGAUAGUACACAAGUCCUUUAGGAAUUUUGCAUACGUUGGAACUUGUUUGAUCAUAUCCAGCAGUGGAAUAUUAACUUUCACUUGUCUCAAUACUUCAAGGAUUUCAGCUGCAUUUCUAACCCCCUUUUUCCCCUGUAAUGCUUGAGGAAAAGGUGGAAAAGUUGAUUUCUUCAGCUUUUCUUCCUUCAGAAGCUCCUUCUUUUCUUCAUUGAUCUCACUCUCUUUAUCUUCCAUUUCCUUCCCUUUCUUUAUCUCUUCUUCUUUCUCAACAUGUGGCUUGGGUGUUGGCUGCUCAAUUUUCUUACCACUCCUUAGAGUGAUCAAAGCUUUCACUUCUUUCACCUGUGAUGAUUCUCCCUCAUGGCUUUCCACUUCAUGGACACCUUUGGGAUUUUGAUGAGGUUGAGAAGGAAAUCUUCCUUUUUCUUGCAGUGUAUUCAAAUUUGUAAGCCUUGAAAUUGAAUAUUGGAUGUUAUCAAACUUUUGGUUCAUAUCAUUUUGCAUUCCAUCCAUUCUUUUGUUCAACACACUCUCCAUUCUAUCCAUUCUUUGAUCCACUCUGUCCAUUCUUUGAUCAACUCGAGCAUUGGUGGCUUCUUGCUUUCCCACAAAAUCUCCCACUACCUUGCUGAGAUUAGCUAUUAUUUGUUCAAUACUUGAAGAUUGCUGAGAUGGUGGAUCCGGCUGUUGGUAUUGAGUUGCUCUGGCCUUCCAUGAGAAAUUUGGAUGAUUCCUCCAACUUGAAUUGUAGGUAUUUCCAUAUGGUGCAUUGUUAUUGGGCCUGAAUUGUCCAACAACAUUUGCUUGAUCUCUAUACAUUUCCCUUUCAGCUGAAAUUGCAGGGCACUCCUCUACCAAAUGUUCAAACGAUUGACAAUUGGGACACAACUUCACUUGCACUGGUGCUUCAGCAACAGCUUGCACUUCAUGCAUUCUUUUCAGCUCCAGCUCCUUCAAUCUUCUUGUCAUAGCUGCCAACUUUGCUUUCAUGUCAUCAUCUUCUUUUAAAUUAUACAUCCCAGCCUUUGCAUUGUAAGCAUUCAACUGAGACUUCAUCUUUCCCACUUCUCCUUUAGUUGGUUCAUCCCAUCCCCUUGAAACAUCAGCUACAUAGCUCAAGAAAUCCAUAGCUUCCUCUGGAUUUUUGCUCAUGAAAUCUCCUCCACACAUUGUCUCGAGGAGUUGCUUCAUUGAGGAUGACAUACCAUCAUAGAAAUAACUCACCAAUAGCCAAGUAUCAAAGCCAUGGUGAGGACAAGCAUUUAUAGCUUCCAUGUAUCUUUCCCAACACUCAUAGAAUUUCUCAUUCUCUUUAGCUGAAAAAUUUGAAAUUUGCCUUUUCAAGCCAUUUGUUCUAUGAGUAGGAAACAAUUUCUUAAGGAACUCAGCUUGUAAAUCAGUCCAAGAGCGGAUACUCCUUGGCCUUAAAGAAUUAAGCCAAAUUUUGGCCUUAUCCUUUAAAGUAAAAGGAAAUAACUUAAGCCUUAUCAAGUCAAUUGAAGCUCCUCCCUCUUGGAAUGUAUUACAAACAUCUUCAAAUUCCUUGAUGUGUGCAUACGGAUUCUCACUUUCCAUCCCAUGGAAAGUUGGUAGAAGUGGAACAAGGUAUGGUCUGAUCACUAGCUGCUCUGUAGGGGGCACUAUACAUGAUGGUGCACUCAUACGAGGUGGAUGCAUACGGUCCCUCAUUGAUCUGAAUUCAUUGAGAUUGUCUUGACGACCUUGGUGACUAUGCUGAUCUUCAGGUGCAGCCUCCAUGAUAUUCAAGAUUACUUCAAAUUCUCCUUUCUGAGGUGUAUCACACUUAACAAGCCUACCUCUAAUGUCUCGUAUCCACUUGGGCAUACACAACUAGUAUUCAGCUGCAACUAAAAUGAAAAUAGAGGACAACAAGAACAGAGGACUACAAUAGCAAAAUUAAACUAGACUAAAAUUUAAAAAGAUAAACUUAGAUUGUAAAAUAAACAAAGAAAGAAUGAAAAUUAGUAAAGUGAAAGAAACUUUACCAACUUGUGAUGAAAAUCACAAGUACUCAAAAAUGGUAUCACAAUGAACUUGACACUCAUUCCCCGGCAACGGCGCCAUUUGACUCAUGCCCAAUUGGUGUCUCAGCUGAUUUGUAUUCAGCUGGUGCUCCUUGAUUGAGGAAGUGAUCAACAAAAUUUAUACCUAUAACACCAUACACUAGGGUAGCAAAUACAAAGCUACUAUAGUAUAGUGGCUCUAAGGAUCGUUCACUGGGAAUGAUUUGCAAGCAAUCAAGGAUACCAAUUCCAAGUGAAUUGGUCUUGUUUCAUUUCACGGUUAGCUUAAGAAGUAAAACACAAAGUUUGAUUGGUAAAGGUUUAGACUUAAACUAACUAACUUAACAGAAGUUUGGAAUAAUUUAGGAAGAAAAGCAUUCCUUGGAGAUUUAGGUUCACUGGGGUGGUUCCUCAUGCAAAAGACAUAGCUCCGGUCAGAUGGUUCAUUUCCUCGCAUUAGAGAUUCAACUUAGAGUCAAUUCUCUAACCGGUGAUGUNNNNNNNNNNNNNNNNNNNNNNNNNNNNNNNNNNNNNNNNNNNNNNNNNNNNNNNNNNNNNNNNNNNNNNNNNNNNNNNNNNNNNNNNNNNNNNNNNNNNNNNNNNNNNNNNNNNNNNNNNNNNNNNNNNNNNNNNNNNNNNNNNNNNNNNNNNNNNNNNNNNNNNNNNNNNNNNNNNNNNNNNNNNNNNNNNNNNNNNNNNNNNNNNNNNNNNNNNNNNNNNNNNNNNNNNNNNNNNNNNNNNNNNNNNNNNNNNNNNNNNNNNNNNNNNNNNNNNNNNNNNNNNNNNNNNNNNNNNNNNNNNNNNNNNNNNNNNNNNNNNNNNNNNNNNNNNNNNNNNNNNNNNNNNNNNNNNNNNNNNNNNNNNNNNNNNNNNNNNNNNNNNNNNNNNNNNNNNNNNNNNNNNNNNNNNNNNNNNNNNNNNNNNNNNNNNNNNNNNNNNNNNNNNNNNNNNNNNNNNNNNNNNNNNNNNNNNNNNNNNNNNNNNNNNNNNNNNNNNNNNNNNNNNNNNNNNNNNNNNNNNNNNNNNNNNNNNNNNNNNNUGGCUUGUAAUGGCUGCAACUUUUUCGUUUCAACUCCAAAUUGCACACCGUUUGAAGCAUUGGAUUGUUGACUUCCUGAGCUUUGAAAUGGUAUAUAGCAUGCAUCAUUUGGACUUCAGAAAGUGCUCCAAAAGUGGCUGCUACGACUGUCAUCAAGAAUAAGCUUCAUGACUGAUCCUCUUUGCUUUUUCUCCUUGCAAUCCGGAUUCACUCUUGGCAAUUGAAUUCUAAGCUUUGCCCAAGAUUCCUCAUAGCUCUCCUCAUUCUUGACUUGCUUUGGUGAUCAAAAUACUAACAAAAACACCAAAACUUACACAAAGUGAUCAAAAUUGCUUUAAAGGAUCCUUAACAUGCCAAUUGAGUUAAAAGGCCUAAACUACUACUCAAAAGUGGUAAAAAGGAUUAAUUAAAGGCUAUCAAAUAGCACUUUUUGAGUAGUAAUCACUUCAGCAUCUAUUUCACCAGCUACAGUUGAGUGAUGGGGCUCCCGACACUUCUUUCCCUGUGGCGAUUACUCCUACGUCUCCAGAUCGAGCUAGCAUGUUGUCUCUAUGCUUUCCAGAGGAGAUCAUGAGUGAUGGGAUGAUUCUUGAUCCUAUUGAGGUGAUUGAUGGAGUUGUUCCCCAUGAUGAGUACCGUGAUGAGAUGGACAUGAUGACCGUGAGCCAGAUUGCCGGCAUUGUUCAGCUUCAGCCUGUUUCAGCAUUUGAUAUGUUUGGGGUAUCUACCAUUGAGGUUUUUGAGGGGACUCAGACUCUUCCUGUUCCAGAGCUUCCAGAGGAUGAUAGUAGUUUGUUUGAGGGCAUUGUUAGCCCAGUUGAGGGAGCGUCCGACCUUGUGGACCCACCUCUUUCUUUUGAUGUUUUAUCGGGAUUUGUCUCCCGCUCUGACGAUGUUUCUGUUGCUUCAUUUAUGGAUUUGAGCAUUUUUGAGUAUUCGCCUGUCUUUUGUGAUAGUAUCUCUACGUCUGCACCCCACUCACCCAUUACACAGAUAUUUGAUAUAGAUGAUGAGAUUGCACAGCCCAAUUCGGAUAGGGACUCUUUUGAUCAUGACUCUGGUCCCAUAGAUGAGAGAGUUUCACCUGCUGCAGGGGGCGUUGAGACUGUUGAUUUUGGCACAGAGGAUCAGCCUAGAGAGCUGAAGAUUGGUUCACCCCUAUCUACAGAUGAGAGAGAUAGACUCAUCCAUUUACUCAGGACAUACUUGGAUGUCUUUGCAUGGUCUUAUGAGGACAUGCCAGGUCUUGAUCCCUCUAUAGUCCAGCACCAUUUACCUACCCUACCACAUGCUAGACCAGUUAAGAAAAAAUUGAGAUGGUUGCAUCCACGUUGGAGUCUACAGGUAAAAGAGAAGAUUCAGAAACAACUCAGUGUUGGGUUCAUAUCAGUAGUUGAGUAUCCAGAGUGGUUGGCUAAUGUCGUCCCUGUUCCUAAAAAGGAUGGCAAAGUUAGGGUUUGUGUUGACUUCAGAGAUCUCAAUAAAGCCAGCCCUAAAGAUGACUUUCCCCUUCCACACAUUGAUUUGUUGGUUGAUGGCACCGCAGGCCAUUCGAUGUUGUCUUUCAUGGAUGGGUUUUCAGGGUAUAAUCAGAUUUUGAUGGCUCCAGAGGAUAUGGAGAAGACAACCUUUAUUACUGAGUGGGGUACCUACUGUUAUAGAGUUAUGCCAUUUGGGUUGAAGAACGCAGGAGCCACUUAUCAGAGAGCCGCUACCACUUUGUUUCAUGACAUGAUGCAUAGGGAUGUCGAGGUUUACGUGGAUGAUAUGAUUUUGAAAUCCCGAGGUAGAGCAGAUCACCUAAAUGCUUUAGAGAGAUUCUUUGAGAGGAUCCGGAAGUUUAGAUUGAGGUUGAAUCCCAAGAAGUGUACCUUUGGAGUGACUUCUGGGAAGUUAUUGGGACAUAUAGUCAGUGAGCGGGGCAUAGAGGUCGACCCAGAUAAAAUCAAAGCCAUACUUGACAUGCCUGCACCAAAGACUGAGAAAGAGAUUAGAGGUUUUCUGGGCAGAUUACAGUACAUUAGUCGGUUCAUAGCCAGAUUGACAGACAUAUGUGAGCCUAUCUUUCGUCUUUUGAGGAAGAACCAGCCAACAGUUUGGAAUGAUGACUGUCAGUUUGCAUUUGAGAAGAUCAAGGAGUAUUUGCUUUCUCCUCCUGUUUUAGUGCCUCCUACGCCAGGACGUCCACUUCUUCUAUAUUUGUCAGUUUCAGACAUGGCAUUGGGAUGUAUGUUAGCUCAGAUUGAUGACUUAGGAAAGGAGCGAGCUAUUUACUACCUAAGUAAGAGGAUGUUGGAGUAUGAGAUGAAAUAUGUUAUGAUUGAGCGCCUAUGCUUAGCACUAGUUUGGGCUACCAGGAGAUUGAGGCAUUACAUGACGGAGUACUCAGUACAUUUGAUAUCCCGCUUGGACCCGUUGAGAUACUUGUUUGAUAGACCUGCAUUGACUGGUAGAUUGAUGAGAUGGCUUGUACUUUUGACAAAGUUCGAUAUUCAGUAUGUUUCUCAGAAGUCUAUUAAGGGAAGUAUUGUUGCCGAUCACUUAGCCUCACUACCGACAUCUGAGGACAGACCAGUUGAUGAUGAUUUUCCAGAUGAGGAGUUUGUUGCUAUGACCAGCUUAUCGGGAUGGUGCAUGUACUUCGAUGGUGCAGCCAAUCAGUCAGGGUAUGGGAUUGGUGUUCUAUUGGUAUCCCCUCAGGACGAUCACAUUCCGAGGUCCGCUCGUUUGACAUUCUCUGAUCGACAUCCUGCCACGAAUAACAUAGUUGAGUAUGAGGCUUGUAUCCUUGGUUUAGAGACUGCAUUGGAGCUUAACAUUAGACAGAUGGAGGUGUUUGGUGACUCCAAUCUGGUACUCAGGCAGAUUUAGGGGGAUUGGAAGACUAGGGACGUGAAGCUUAGGCCAUAUCAUGCUUAUUUAGAGUUGUUGGUUGCGAGAUUUGACGAUUUGAGAUAUGUUCAUCUGCCUAGAGCGCAGAACCGAUUUGCUGACGCCUUAGCUACUUUAGCUUCCUCCGUGGACAUUCCGAUUGAUGUAGUCAUACGUCCAUUACUGAUUGAGUCCAGGUCUGCACCCGCCUAUUGUUGUCUGAUUGGAGAGACAGAGGUCCAGGAUGACCUACCUUGGUAUCAUGACAUUUAUCAGUUCCUUAGAUCUAGCACAUACCCUGAGGUAGCCACUACCAAGGAUCGGAGAGCACUGAGGCAUUUGGCUACUAGAUUUGUGAUUUCCGGAGAUACCUUGUACAGACGAUCAGCUGAUGGUAUGCUUCUGUUGUGUUUAGAUCGAGCCUCUGCAGAUCGAGUGAUGAGAGAGGUUCAUUCAGGAGUUUGUGGUCCGCAUAUGGGAGGACACAUGCUAGCUCGUAAGAUUAUGAGGACGGGUUACUUCUGGUUGACUAUGGAGACAGAUUGUUGUCAGUUUGUCCAGAAAUGCCCAGAGUGUCAGAUUCAUGGUGAUCUCAUACAUGCACCACCAUCAGAGUUACACGCCUUGACUUCGCCAUGGCCAUUUUCAGUAUGGGGUAUUGAUAUUAUUGGGAAAGUUUCACCAAAAUCUUCCAGUGGUCAUGAGUUCAUCCUAGUUGCCAUAGACUAUUUCACCAAGUGGGUGGAAGCCGCAUCAUAUGCGAGGUUGACAUCUGCUAGGGUUGCCAGUUUUAUCAGAUCACACAUCAUUUGCCGCUAUGGGGUUCCUCAUGAGUUGAUUUUCGACAGAGGGGCGCACUUCCGAGCUGAGGUAGACACUUUGUUGCAGGAGUAUGACAUCCGACAUCAUAGAUCUUCAGCAUAUAGGCCACAGACCAAUGGGGCAGUAGAGGCUGCAAACAAGAAUAUUAAGAGGAUUUUGAGGAAGAUGGUUGAGACCUCUCGAGAUUGGUCAGAAAAGCUUCCUUUUGCAUUGUGGGCAUACCGCACCUCUUUUCGCACUUCUACAGGAGCUACGCCUUACUCCCUAGUGUAUGGUAUGGAGGCUGUUUUGCCAGUCGAGACAGAGAUGGGCUCAUUGAGAGUAGCCCUUGAGCAGCAGAUUUCUGAGACAGAGUGGGCUCAGGCUCGAUUUGAUCAGCUUAACCUUUUAGAUGAGAGGAGAUUGAGAGCAAUAGAUCAUGUUCAGGCCUAUCAGAGAAAGAUGGCUCGUGCCUUCAAGAAACGAGUCAAGCCUAGACCAUUGCAAAAAGGGGACUUAGUUUUGAGGAUUCUCAGAGGUUUGAUUGGAGACCCUAGAGGAAAGUUUAGACCUAGUUGGAGUGGGCCUUAUGUUAUCCGGGAGUUGACUCCAAAAGGGGCUGCAUGGUUGACAGACUUAGAUGGAAACCAAUUUUCAGAGCCUACCAAUGUGGAUCAGCUGAAGAAGUAUUAUGUUUGAGACUGUGGUCGUAGGAUGGGUGGCCACCAUUUCGGUUAGCCUCAUACUUUAUCACCUCUAUAUAUUAGACCGUUGCUAGCCCAUUGAGCUUCGCAUGGUAUGUUAUAGCCUUAUUUCUUUCUUAUAGCUUUGAUUACCAUUUCUAUACCCGGGUUGGGGCCCUUUGAUGUAUAUGUAUGCUUUGCUAGGAAAGUCUCAUGAGCUUUAGACUUAUAGGUCUAUCUUCUCAUUUUGUUACCAUCCUCUUAUCACCCUAUUUGUUCUAUUUUAUUAUCACCACAUAUUCAUUCUCUUUCUUGUCCCUAUCAUUAUUUGCUUCAUCUUAUCUAUUCUCUUCCUUGGGUUGAUGAUUCUUCACGUCUUAGUGCAAGGAGGGUUGUCAUAUCACUCUAUUCAUUCCAUCAUUUGACAUUGAUUCGGAGAUUUUAGUUUGAGAGGUUAUCUCAGGGGUUGGGGUUCAUGUAUCCAUCAGUGGUCAGAGAGAGUUUGUUCAUUCCUUAUAUUUUUCCAUUGGAGUUUGAUUUAUUGAUGAUCAGAGCAUGCGCAAAAAAAAUCAAAAAAAAAAAAAAAAAAAAAAAAAAAAAAAAAAGCGCAAGGAUAUGCUCAUGUAUGGUAUCUCAUUCCAUUGGGUAUUUAUGCCACCUUUUGAGGUUCAUUUAUUGGGUAUAUUUGUCAUUAUGGGUUUUUGUGAGUUUUUAUGAGUUUUUUCAGUCCUUGAGCCACUCCUGUUAUGCAUUUGGAGUGUCGAGGGUUCAUAUGAGAGUUCUAUGAGAUCCUAUGCUUCUUAGAUCAUGAUUGAUAUAUUUUAGGUAUGAGAGAUGAGUGACCUUUUUACUAGGGUCUCCGGAUCAUUGUCUUAUACCCACCAUUCCAUCAUUGGUGAUAUGACUUUCCUUUAUUGUACUAACAUGGGUUGAUCAUCACUCAUUCCACUUUCCCAUUGUUUUCUUUUGUAUCCCAUUACCUCUUUCCAGAUCUUUGUUCCACCUUUUAUUCAUUCCUUACAUAUUGAUACCCAUUACUGAUUUGAUACCUUCUUGACAUCAUUCACAUAUUUCAUUGAUGGCUUGACCAUUCAUCCUUUCNNNNNNNNNNNNNNNNNNNNNNNNNNNNNNNNNNNNNNNNNNNNNNNNNNNNNNNNNNNNNNNNNNNNNNNNNNNNNNNNNNNNNNNNNNNNNNNNNNNNCCAUUCAUCAUUUCUCUCAUUCGUUAUCGACAUUCCCUUUGGUANUCUAAGUCCAUGACUCAUGAGAUUUUCUAUGCAUACAUCUGUGCACGAGGGUACGGGUUUGAUCAUUGGGUAUUUGAGCNUAGUUUCCCUUUCAUUUCUUUCACCCUAUCACCUUGACNUAUGUUACGUCCCGUGUCUUAAGACCACCCUGAGGCCAUGAGAUCAGACAUUAUCUUUGACAGUCUUCACUUGGACAGACUUUUGUAGAUUGGUUGAAGUAUGGUCGUUACUAUGUUAUCUUUUAUGGAAGAUACUUUUGGAAGCAUUUGGUCUCUCUCUUGCUUGGCAUAUUGAUGUUUGAUGGAUUUUUGGGUUUGGAGACAGUUCAUUGAGGAUAUUAGAUUCAUCAUUUGGUUGUACAUCAGAUAUCCAUACUAGGGCAUAUUCCCCUUUCAUUUGGUUGAGAUGAGCCCCUAGUGGAGCACUUUCUUUGAGUCUGGGUAUUUUCACCGAUCAGAGAUCCCUAGUGAGGUAUGUUGAGACUAUAUCAGUUCUAGUGGAGCAUCGUUGAGCCCCUAGUGAUUCCAUUCCCGGAAUACUUCUGAGAUAGACUAGUGGAUUAUUACUGAGUUGGAGGCAGUUUUCAGUGCAGUGUAUAGACCAGGCAUACUGGGGCAUAUUUCCCCAUUUUGAGGUUACCAGAUUCCUAUCAGAUUCAGUCAGGGAUUCAUCAGAGACAUGUUUCUAUUUUUGAGAUUACCACAUUUCUCAUCAUUUUGGCUAUUCAUUUGAGAUUAGAUUUAGAGUGUCUCCCUUGAGGCAUUGGUCGAUACAUCAUUCUGACUUCUUAGCGGAUUAUUGUUGAGCUGAGGAUAGUUGAUUGAUGAUGUCGGAUUCAUCCUUUGGUUGUGCAUCAUAUAUUCACACUGGGGCAUAUUCCCCCAUUCCUCCGAGAUUCUUAUCUGUUAUUGUAUACGGUACGAGGAUGGAUGAUCAUUGUUAGUUUGUUUACCUCACGACUUCGACAUUAGAUUAUCCACACUGAGGCAUAUUCCACUCUCCUUGAUGAGAUUGUGUUUGGACAGCGAUACGAGGAUGGAUGAUCAUUGUUAAUUUGUUUGCCUCACGACUUCGACAUCCGAUAUCCAUACUGGGGCAUAUUCCCCUCUCCAUUACGAGAUUUAUUUGGGCAGUGAUAUGAGGAUGGAUGACUGGUGUCGGUUGUUUAGCUUAUGACUUUGACGUUAGAUCUUAUACUGGGGCAUAUUUCCCCCAUUUUCUUUGAGUAUCCUUGAGAUUGAGACAGUGGCCAGCUUGGUUUUAGAUUGAGCACUAGCCUAGAGCUUCCGACGAUCGACUGUAUCAGGGCCUCCCUACAUGGAUUUGUUGAGAUAGAGACGGAUCGCAUCAGGUUUCACCCGAGGAGUGUGGGUGGAUCCUUUAGCCAGAUGUUCAUGAGACAGAUUUAUUUUCGUCAUUGUUACCUUGUAGAUUGGAUUAUCCAGAUGAGCAGUAUUUUACACACUUUGAGGUUUACUUUUAGAUGAGCCAUGAUAUACACUCUUUGAGAUUUACCUUUUGAGAUUCAUCGACAGAGCAGCUUUUCAGACAUAGAGGGUUUCUUCAGUUUAGACUUUUCAGAGGUUUGUCACGAUGCAUCAGUUUCUGACCUAUUGAUUUCAGCGGAUGAUUGAUUUACUGGUUGUUUCGGCAGUGUGAGCACCCUGGAUACUGGGGCAUAUUUCCCUUCUUAGUUUCAGUAGUCCGACCCUUGACAUUUUGAGUAUGUGGCUUUGAGCCAAUUUAUUUCAUGUCCACUUUCAAGUUGGUCUUCUCUAUUAUUCCCUUCUAGGCCCUGAGCCUCAUAGCUUUGAGUUAUUCAUUCCUUCUAGACCCCGAGUCUUAUAGCCUUGAGCAUCCUUUUUCCCUUAGGCCCUGAGCCCGCUAGCCCUGAGCUAUCAUUUCCUAUAGACCCAGAGUCUUUCCAGCUCUUAGCUGAGCUUUCAUCACUUGGUCGCCCAUGAGUGGUUUGACCUGGAGUUUGCGUAUCGCAUUCUCCUUCUAGCCGAUCAGUCAUAGAGCCCUGAGCUAUUCAUCGACCCAGAGUCAUUUUCCAUCUUGACCCAGAGUCAUUCAUAGCACCUCGAGCCCUGAGCUCACGACCCGGAGUCAUUUGCAUUAUUCACAUCCCUAAGAUGUUUCGUUUUCAUCAUUCUAGCCACUUGUGAGUGGCCUCGACCCGACAUCUUGAGUCGGAAAGUAUCCUGAUCGGCUAUCUAUUUAGAGCCCGGAGCUCUCGACCCAGAGUCACUUUCCAUUUCGACCCAGAGUCAUUGUUUCCUAUUUUAGAGCCCGGAGCUCUCGACCCAGAGUCACUUUCCAUUUCGACCCAGAGUCAUUCUUUCCUAUUUUAGAGCUUAGAGCUCUCGACCCAGAGUCACUUUCCAUUUCGACCCAGAGUCAUUGUUUCCUAUUUUAGAGCCCGGAGCUCUCGACCCAGAGUCACUUUCCAUUUCGACCCAGAGUCAUUAUUUCCUAUUUUAGAGCCCGGAGCUCUCGACCCAGAGUCACUUUCCAUUUCGAACCAGAGUCAUUCUUUNNNNNNNNNNNNNNNNNNNNNNNNNNNNNNNNNNNNNNNNNNNNNNNNNNNNNNNNNNNNNNNNNNNNNNNNNNNNNNNNNNNNNNNNNNNNNNNNNNNNAGCUUUUAGAAUACACUUGGCCCAUUAGGCACUACCCUAGGCCCACUUAGUCUCACUUUAGACCCGUUUAGGCACACUAGGCCUACGAAGACUUUAUUUAUUUAUUUAUUUAUUAUUUAUUUAUUUAUUUGGUUUUUAGUUUUAAUUUUAUGAUUAUCAUUCACUUUUUAUUGGUUAUCUUCCUCUUUAUAUCAUUUUCCUUAACUUAUUUAUUUAUUUAUUAUUUUUACCAUUUUUUAAUUUAUUUACUUAUUUAUCUAUUCAUGCAAUUAUUUAACUUCAAAAAUUUCAUGUUUUUGCAAGGAAACUUACCAUUGGAGUUUAAGGAAGGCGGGACUCUCCUUGGAAGGUUUUGGAGGGGAAUUUGAAAUUGGGAAGAUUGCUUUUGAUUGGAGGAUUUAAAAAAAGAAGAGAAGAAGAAAGGAAAGAGGAUAAUUUUCCUUUUUGGAAACAAAUUUAGGUCUUGAGGGGUGAUAUAUAUAGGUGAGAAAAGGAAAAGAAUAGGGGGAUUUUUCUAGGGGGGCAGGGCACACGGAAUUUUGAAAAAAAAGCAAGGGACUUCGAACGGAGCUCGGGCUGUCAUUUAAUCAUCAAGAGAGGAUUUUCUCUUUCACUUCAAAGGUUAGUUUUCUAUAUAGUACUUUUAUUUAGCCUAGAUUUUUUUUUUUUUUUUUUUUUUUGGAAGUUUUAGUUUUUGAUUAAUUCUUUGUGUUAAAGUUUAUAUUAUUUUCUUUUUAAAUCCCCAAUUAGUUUAAUUCUAAUCUAUCUUUUAGUUUAAGUUUGUUAAUGAUUUUAAUUCUUAAGUUUAAAUAAUCCUAUCGAAUAAAGUUUGUAUUUUUAAUCCCAAUUAGUUUGAUUUUAAUUUGUUUUUUAGUUUAAAUAUAUUUUGUUGAUCUUAAUUCUUGACUUUAAAUAAUCACGUUAAAUAAAGUUUGUGUUUUUAAUCUCAAUUAGUUUGAUUUCAAUUCGUUUUUAGUUUAAAUACAUUUUGCUGAUCUUAAUUCUUUAGUUUAAAUAAUCAUAUCGAAUAAAGUUUGUAUUUUUAAUCCCAAUUAGUUUGAUUUUAAUUUGUUUUUUAGUUUAAAUGUAUUUUGUUGAUCUUAAUUCUUUACUUUAAAUAAUCACGUUAAAUAAAGUUUAUGUUUUUAAUCUCAAUUAGUUUGAUUUCAAUUCGUUUUUAGUUUAAAUACAUUUUAUUGAUCUUAAUUCUUAAGUUUAAAUAAUCAUAUCGAAUAAAGUUUGUAUUUUUAAUCCCAAUUAGUUUGAUUUUAACUUGUUUUUUAGUUUAAAUGUAUUUUGUUGAUUUUAAUUCUUAAGUUUAAAUAAUUGUAUUGAAUAAAGUUUGUAUUUUUAAUCCCAAUUAGUUUGAUUUCAAUUCAUUUUUAAUUUAAAUGCAUUAGUUGAUCUUAAUUCUUUGUUUUAAAUAAUCACGUUAAAUAAAGCUUGUAUUUUUAAUCCCAAUUAAUUUGAUUUCAAUUCGUUUUUUAGUUUAAAUAUAUUUUGUUGAUCUUAAUUCUUGACUUUUAAUAAUCACGUUAAAUAAAGUUUGUGUUUUUAAUCUCAAUUAGUUUGAUUUCAAUUCGUUUUUAGUUUAAAUACAUUUUGUUGAUCUUAAUUCUUAAGUUUAAAUAAUCAUAUCGAAUAAAUUUUGUAUUUUUAAUCCCAAUUAAUUUGAUUUUAAUUCGUUUUUAGUUUAAAUGUAUUUUGUUGAUUUUAAUUCUUUACUUUAAAUAAUCACGUUAAAUAAAGUUUGUGUUUUUAAUCUCAAUUAGUUUGAUUUCAAUUCGUUUUUAGUUUAAAUGCAUUAGUUGAUCUUAAUUCUUAAGUUUAAAUAAUUAUGUUAGAUAAAGUUCAUGUUUUUAAUCCCAAAAUAGUUUAUUUUUAAUUUAUUUGUUAGUUUAAAUAUGUAUGUGAUUUUAAUUUAUUAGUUUAAAUAAUCAUGUUAGAUAAAGUUUAUAUUUUUUUUAAUUCUAAAUUAGUUCAGUUUUAACCUAUCUUUUAGUUUAAGUAUAUUUGUGAUUUUAAUUCAUUAGUUUAAAUAAUCUUGUUAGAUAAAGUUCAUAUUUGAAAUUCCGAUUUAGUUUAGCUUUUAUUUAUUUUUAAUUUGGAUGUGUUUGUAAUUGUAAUUUAGUAGUUUAAUUAAUCUUAUUAAAUAAAGUUCAUGUUUUUAAUUACAAUUUAAUUUAGUUUUAAUUUGUUCUUCACUUGUAUGUGUUUGUGAUUUGAAUACAUUAGUUUAAUUAAUCCCGUUAGAUAAAGUUUAAUCUUGAUUUAAUUUAUUUUUUUAGUCUAGAGGCAUUUAUGUGUUUAGUUAAUCUUAUGUUAAUUAUGGAUUGUUAUUCUCAAUUUAUGCGCUUCUUGAAUCCUUGUUGCUAAUUCUUGAUGGAUAUUUCAUUAGCUUAUUUGAUCUAAAUAUUAAUAAUUUAUUGCUUUGAUAGUUUCCUUUUUGUUCAAAGGCCAUUGGAAAAUCAUGAAGAUUGGCCUCUACCAUCACCAUUAUCAUUUUUGUUAAUUACUAAAAAAAUUUUACUUUGAGGUUUCAUUUUUGUUUUGUUGGGUAUUUUAUUUCUUAUAUUUUAUUUUUUCCAAAUUAAUUCCUUUUAUUUUAAAAUAAAAUACUUUUCUCAAAAAAAUCAUUUUAAAAAUCUAUUUCAAAAACUCAUUUAGAGUCCUCAAGAUCAAAAUCUUUUUUUUUUUAUUAUUUAAAAAUAAUAUGCAACCAUAUCUUGUUCGGUUUGCAUCCUUCUCGGUUUUCAACAAAAAUUUUGGUUUUGAACAAAAACACGAAUCAAAGCUUGUGGUCCCAAAUAAUGGGAUAAUUCUGGGCUAAAUUUGUGUAUAUUAAUUUGGGGAAUUGGUGAAACCCCUACAUAAGAAAAUCUUUUCAAAAAUUAUUUUUGUUGCCAUCUUUGUCACUUGUUGAAAUUAUGUCUAUUUUUUUUAGGAAUUGUAUACAUGAUGAGUGUGAUAAUUAAUGUUUUCAUAUGCUUUGAUAAUUUUUGUUAUGCUAAUUAGAUAACAAGCAUGCUAGGGUUUCUUUAUUUUAUUAUUAUCUAAUCCCUCAUGUCUUAUGGAAGCGCAUUGUAAGUUAUCUAUGCUAUCCAGGUACGCCCCCUAAUGACCUACUUUCUAAAUUUCGUAAACAAUCAUGUCACUGUGAAGUAUGCAUAUGUUUGAUAAUCCUUAGGUGUUUAGAUGUAUGCUUGAUUCACUAUGAUUAAAUACAUGUUGUGUGUUAUACUUCUAUAUUAACUCUGAUGUUUUAUGAUAGCGCUUGAAGAGCGGUUCAGGUACGCACCCUAACUCUCAGUUUUUGUGAUUUGAUCUUGUUUAGCAUGCAAAUCUUUUGAAAUCACCUAGUCUACCUAGGUAUCCAUAAUUAACCGAUUAAUUGCCAUAUUCCCCUUAACUUAAUUAGUAGAGACCUUUUUAGGGCUUAGAAGGGUGCUACCUCUUAGAGGUACCUUCCCAAUAAGUAACCUGAUUCCCGGACCAAGACUUGGGUUUUCAAAGACACGCUUUUCCAAAAAUUAUGGAGUCAUUUUUUUUAGGGUUUUAUUUCUUGUUUUAUUUUCCCUUCAAAAAUAAAAAUAAAAUAAGUGGCGACUCCAACUUUUUUUUUUCAAAAAUCAAUUUUUCACAAAAUAAUAAAAAGCGAGUCUCGCCGAUCGAGUGGGGGCGCACGUGAAAAAUGCGGGUCCACACAUUGGAAGAAUUAUAUCUGGAUGGGAACCAUUUCAGUAGUCUACCUGCUGGCAUCAAUCGACUUACCAAUCUAAGAGUCCUUGACUUGAGUCACUGCAAGAACCUUCAACAAAUUCCAGAGCUUCCAUCAAGUCUACGUUUCUUAGAUGCGCAUUGUUCGGGUGGUAUUUCAUCAAGGCCCUCGCCUCUGCCUAUUCAUUCUAUGGUCAAUUGCUUCAAACCAGAAAUUCCGGUAUGAUUCUCAUGCCAGGUUCCUUUUUCUUUUGUGCCCAUUGAAUUUACAUGGUGCUUUUGUGCAGGUACCCAGGAUUCAUGCUGGUUGUACAUUCUUUGUAGGCAAUGGAAUUAGCAUUGUUGUUCCUAGAAGUAGUGGAAUUCUAGAGUGGAUAAGGUAUCAGAGUAUGGGAGGUUAUAAAGUAACAAUAGAGCUCCCCCCGAAUUGGUAUGAAAAUAAGGAAUUGUUGGGAUUUGCUUUAUGCUGUGUUUAUGAAUCCAACAAUGGAUUUGUCUUUGAGUCUCGGUAUGAAUCAACUGAUACAUCUGAUAAUGAGCCUGACAAUGGAUCUGCAUAUGAAUCUCAGCAUGAAUCAGCUGAUACAUCUAAUAAUGAACCUGACAAUGGAUCUGCCUAUAAAUCAGCUGAUACAUCUGAUAAUGAACCUGACAAUGGAUCUGCCUAUGAAUCUACCUAUGAAUCUCAGAAUGAAUCAGCUGAUACUUCUAAUAAUGAACCCACCAAUGGAUCUGCCUAUGAAUCUGAAAAUGAAACAGCUCAUACAUCUGAUAAUGAAGAACCAGUGGAGUUCUAUUGUAAUUUGAGUAUCCGAGGAAAUAAUCAAUCAACAGUCGUGGAUUCUUUCAAAUUGGGUUCUUACUGUGCUAAUGAUGUUGCAUCAGAUAUAGUGUGGGUGAUAUUUUAUCCCAAGGUAGCUUUUAAGGAAGCUAUUAAGGAAUGGUAUCGCUCUAAUCAAUGGACACACUUUAUGGCUUCAUUUGGCGGUUUCGGAAGAGUGGAACAGUGCAUGAUCCGUCUUAUAUAUGCAGAAGAUUAGGAACAAAAGCAUCCAAAAAUGGCGCAAGACAGUUCUUCUCAUGGGAGUUUUGGUGAGCAUGGAUCAGCAACAGAAGAUACUAAUAGUAAAGCUCAUAAUAAAAGGAAUCCCACAGAACAGAGCCGAUGAGAGGAGUCACACCAUAAAAGAUUCAGAGGAACCCAAGACUGAUCUCAAGUUUUAUGCUCAACCACACUGGCAUCACCAAUGUUCUCUUUACUGGUAAUUCAUCUUCCUUUCUCUUU